rnacentral:lncRNA from 1 species
CCGUCCCUGAGGUCAGUUCAUCACCCUACUUCCUGCACUUUUUGGCCACAUCUCUGUUUAUCCGCAAUUUAUUUUACUGAGCAUUCUUCUUCUCCCUAUUUUUGUUCUUCUUUUUACCCUCAAAACCAUUAGGAUCUGUCCAACAAAAUUGCUAUCCCUACCAAUCAACCACAUAUUCAAUGUCUUGGUCCGCUAGGGUAUCUAGAUCCCACCGAUCUUAUUAAUGCAGAAACAAACAGAAUCCCCUUUAGAGCCAAGAAUUUCUCUCUGGAUCUGUGGAAGGACACCUUCCAUUCCUAGCCCAGUCCUACCGUGGGAUGGAAGGAUUGGUUUUUAAGAGUCAGCCACUCAAAUGAAGUCCAGUGGGGCGAGAGAAAACUGGACCAAUGCAUCAGGUUAUCCAUUGCAGAUAUGCAUAGGAAUGAGUCAUUGUUGAUAGCUGCAUCAUAUUUCUGGUCAGACACACUCAAUGCCUUUGUCUUUGGCCACGGCCCUGCUUCCCCUACACUCGCCGAUGUGGUUAUGCUCACCGGCCUAGAUGUAUCUUCUGCAGAUAGCACCCACUUUUUUGAUACCAAACCCAGUGCUAAGGUAGAAACUCGCUCCAUCGGCGGUUGGUCAGGAUACAUCCAAAAAUACAAACGAACAGGCCCUGUUAACAUAAAGGAACAGACCAGCUUCCUAAACAUGUGGUUGGACAAAUUUGUAUUUUGUGGUCGAUCAGCAGGACCAACUUCCGUCUACCUAGCAGCAGCAGAAAGAUUAGCCAAUGGUGGUCGAUUUCCCCUCGGCCGAUACCUGCUUGGCGUGGCUUACCACAUCCUUCAUCAAGUAACCAGGAAACUCCUGCUCGGCUAGUCCAUCGGCAACUUGGGGGGUCCCUGGUGGUUUAUCAACAUGUGGCUCAGCCUCCACAUGCACAAGCGCCUUGAGUUUGAUAUCUUCACACAGCGCUUCCCUAGAAACAUAGCCGAGGACUAUGAAUUGGAUGAAGAAAAAUCGGCAACUCGCCCUCCUCUGAACUUUGGCGAGGCUAUCAUAGUUCUGCCUGGUACAGGUGGCAACACAGACCAGGUCAGCCGAUUCUCCCAAACCCUGUAUGAAGGUCUGUCAAGAGAACAGCGAGCCUGGAUGCCUUAUGAAGACCCAGACACCAUGUUUCCUUUGGUCUUUCAUCCGUUUAACGAUGCUCUCAACAAGGAUCACGAGGUGAUGAUGGCACUGAUCACUCCAAGAGCUAUACCAGUAAACUUCUUUGGCAGUGGGAAAGCCUCCAACCAAACCUAUGAGUUUUACAACCCAUCGGCACUAGCCCGUCAACUAGCUUUCGGUCAGCUGCCGAUUGCACUCUGUUAUGCCGAUGUGAUAAAACCCAGGGAAACCAUCACCAGCCUCCUCGAGUGGACCAGGGUAGCUCAACUGCCCCCGAAUGCUGAUACCGAUGCAGACUUGUCAGAGUGGGUUCCGGCCCUCUUCAUUACUCAGGCCUACAAGCAGUGGUGGGAAGAACGGAAGGAGCAUUUGUUCUGCAAAUCGGCUCUUACGUACCGCGGCAUGAUCGAUCCCCAGUAGAAAAUCCCUGAUAACACUGUAAGUAUUUCCAAACCGAUGUUCCAAUCCUCUUACUCUCAUCAGCAACUUAGUUUCUGUGUUAUAUUACAGGUCGACGAUAUACCACCAUCAGUCAGUAGGAGUGGCAAACCGAUUGAUCUUUUUCCAUCAGGUCCAAUCUCCUCAAUCGGCAACAAUGCCCCCUCCCUGGCCGCCAUAAUGCACCGAGGUGUACGCCUCAAGAAAGUCACCACCAAGCGGACAAAGAUAUCCCCAUCGGUAGAUGCCUCUGUUUUGGCACAAGCCUUCAGGGUAACUCUCAAAUUCUUUUACCGAUUCCAUUCUUAUACCGAUUACACCUGCACUCACAACUUCUUAUUGUUGUACCAGCACACCGGUGCAUCGACAAGGACCAGAAGCACAAGUACAGAUGCCCCCCAGUCCAGUCAGCCGAAGAGAAAGGGUGCCAAGAGUACCAGAGCACAAGCAAAGCGCCAAAGAGUAGCAACGCCUCCUCCCCUAGUAUCUCCAAUCUCGGUAGAAUCUUCCCCGUCUUCUCCAGAAACACAGUCAUAGCACGUACCAUCUCCUUCUCAGCCACAAGAAACACCCCAAGUGGAAGAACCCCAACCAGAAGAGCCCCAGUCAGAAGCACCUCAGCCAGAAGACACAUCGGCUGACGUGCAUGAGCAGACUGCCGAUCCAACAAGUUCGAUCAUAGCAUCGGUAGCCCCCUCCAUCCAGACAAGUACUGCUCCCCCUCAAGGUAACAUACCUUUUAUGAAAUUAUUGCCGAUGAACUUAUUUUCCCUGUCUCAUAACUGCUUCUGUUAUUCUUUUAGUUGACAUAGUCCCAUCGGCAACCCCAGCCGAUCAACCUGUAGUUCCAUCGGCGUCUUCCAGUCAGAGACAAGAGAUUGCUCUGAAACAAGUAAGUUACCCAACCUCUAUCGAUAUUAUUUGUCAAUACUUGACCAUGGAAUGACUCACUUUAUUUCCUUUUCAGGAACAGAAUUCUCCUUACAGCUUGUUCUCCUUCGCCAUCGACAUCUCUGAAGAUGAAGGUGAGGAGGCAAGUUCUUCUCAGGCAGUUGGAAUCACAUCGGCAGAAAUCAGGGCGAAGUUGGAAGAAUUAUCAGCCCUCCUUCAUCAAGACACAGCCCAACUGGUCAAUGACUCUCUCCUGGCCAAGGCUUUGUUCAAGACCCUCAGAGGCCAGAUUCCAGCCGAUGCUGAAGAAAUCCUCUUUCACGCUGCACAUCUAGAAAGCCGUCAGUUGCAGUACCAGAGGGCUGCCCAACGUCUUGCCAACAGAGCUGCUCAAACUCAGCUUUCUGAGGAAAUGAUGAAAGUGAAGCUUCUUGCCGACGAGAAGCAUAGGAACAUUGGCACCUUGAAGUCCUCAGGAGAUGCACUGAAGUGUAAGAUCUCUGAUCUGUCAGCAAAAAGAGAAGUCCUGUUGGCAGAGCUCAAGCAAGUGGAAGAAGCCUUGUCCCAGGCUCAACAAGAGGAGAACGAGUUGCCUGAGGUGAUCAAGCGUCUUGAGCAAGAAAGAAAUGUCCAAGCCCGCACGGCGCUGCAGAUGAAGAAGAAACUGAAGCCGGUGGAAGGCUCUGCCGAUGAAGAUACCAAGGAGAUAGAAGCAGCCAACCAAAUUCGCCUGCGCGCUAUAUCAACGAUCCAAGCGCUGUUGAACAUGUGAGCUCUUCAUCGGCAACACACUUGCCCCUUUCUGCUUUCCGACCUUCCUGAUAUUUGGUCUAGCCAAUAGGACUGUUAUCAGCACCUUUUAAAACACUAAGUCCGGUCCCAGAUACAUUUUGACCCAGCCGAUAGGGAUGUUAUCGGCAUUCAAACUUUCAUGCAUCGACCCAUAUGCUUGGGUAAUACUUCUUUAGAUACUUGCCAUUUAAUGCUCUGGGAAAUUCAACUCCUUCAAGAGUUUCUAAAAUAUAGGCGUUACCAGGAACCGAUCGACUUAUCCGAUAGGGACCCUCCCAAUUGGGAGACCACUUCCCGAAUUUUGAACUUUUAGUCCCGAUCGGUAAGAUUAAUUUUCAUACUAAUUCUCCAUCGGCAAAUUCCUUAGCCUUUACCUUCUUAUCAUACCAUCUAGCAACUCUCUUCUUAUUCUCUUCUAUACUCAUCAGGGCCCUUAGCCGAUGUCCUGCUAGAUCAUCCAACUCAUCAAUCAUCAAAGUAGCAUAAUCAUCGGCAGCCAAUUGAUCUUGAAAAGAUAAUCGCCUAGACCCAGUCUUAAUUUCCCAAGGUAACACUACAUCAUGCCCAUACACCAACUGAUAAGGUGAAACCUUGGUCGAUCCAUGACAAGCCAUCCGGUACGACCAUAAAGCUUCAUUUAACAAUGUAUGCCACCUCCUAGGAUUUUCUUCAAUCUUCCGUUUAAUAAGCUUGAUAAUUCCUUUGUUAGAUGCCUCAGCCUGCCCAUUGGCUUGAGCAUACUAAGGAGAAGAAUUUAAUACUUUAAUUCCCAUACCGAUUGCAAAUUCAUCAAACUCCCCCGAUGUGAACAUAGUACCCUGAUCGGUAGUAAUUGUUUGAGGAAUUCCAAAUCUGUAGACGAUAUGCUCCUUCACAAAAUCAAUCAUAUUAGCCGAUGUAACUUUGUUUAAAGGAAUAGCUUCAACCCAUUUUGUGAAAUAAUUGGUGGCAACCAAGAUAAACUUAUGUCCUUUGCCAGAUGGUGGAUAAAUCUGACCGAUUAAAUCAAUAGCCCACCCUCGGAACGGCCAAGGCUUGAUGAUAGGAUUCAUGGCCGAUGUAGGCGCCCUUUGAACAUUGCCAAACUUCUGACAUCCUUGACACCCUUUGAAGUACUUAAAGCAAUCCUCAAGUAUAGUCGGCCAAUAAUACCCAUUUCUUCUAAUCAUCCACUUCAUCUUAAAGGCCGACUGAUGUGCUCCACAUACUCCUUCCUGGAUUUCUCCCAUCAAAUUUUUUGCCUCAUCAUCACCUAAACAUCUAAGAAGAAUCCCAUCAAUGGUUCGGUAAUAUAACUCAUCCUCGAGGAGCACAUACUUGGUGGCUUGAAACCGAACACGUAUCUCCACUUUCUUAGAUGGAUCCUUUAAAUAAUCAACGAUCUCUUUUCUCCAAUCAUCGGCACUGAUUGCCGAUAUUGCAUUAAUCAUGGGCUGAUAUCCCAAGGCAUGCUGAGCCAACCGAUUGGCCUCUUCAUUAUGCAAUCGAGGAACAUGCUCCAAUCGGAAAUUCUUGAAUUCCUUUAACAGUCGCAUACUCCUAUCAUGAUAAGUUAUGAGGACCUCACUUCGGCAUUCAUAGCUUCCAGCCAAUUGAUUUAUAGCUAGCAUAGAAUCUCAACAGCAUCAGCACGAACUUCUCUUAGUAACUCCAACCCAUUUAUCAAAGCUUGAUACUCAGCCUGAUUAUUUGUUGACGUGGCAACAAUCGGCAAGGAGAAUUCAUAUUUCCUUCCCCGAGGGGAAAUUAACACUAUGCCGAUCCUGCUCCCCGGUCACACGUGGAUCCGUCAAAGAAAAGCGUCCAAGGUACAAUCUCCAAGGUCUCCACUAUACCACAAUGUUGAGUCACAAAAUCGGCCAUAACCUGUCCUUUAACCGCUUUAGCCGAUUCAUAACACAGAUCGAAUUCUGACAGUGCCAAAAUCCACUUACCGAUCCUGCCACUCAUGAUCGGCAUAGAUUGCAUGUAUCGGACCACAUCAUCUUUGCAAAUAACCGUGCAUUCGGCCGAUAGCAAAUAAUGCCUUAGCUUAAUACAGGAGAAGUACAAGCACAAGCACAGUUUCUCAAUAGCUGAAUACCUGGUCUCAGCAUCAAUCAACCUCCUACUUAAAUAAUAAAUCACACGUUCCUUCCCUUCAAAUUCUUGAAUCAAUGCCGAACCGAUGACCAUCCCAUCGGUAGACAAAUACAAUUUGAAGGGCUUCCCUUGCUGAGGUGGAAUCAGAAUUGGAGGAUUCACCAAAUAAUUCUUGAUUUCGUCCAAGGCCAACUGUUGUUCUUUCCCCCAAACGAAUUCUUGAUCGGCUUUCAACUUAAGUAAAGGACUGAAAGCACGAAUUUUACCAGACAGAUUAGAUAUAAACCACCUGAUAAAAUUUACCUUGCCGAUCAAGGAUUGGAGCUCAGUCUUGUUGGUAGGAGCAACUAUUUUGUUGAUAGCAUCAAUGGAACUUCGACUAAUUUCAAUCCCCCUUUGAUGCACCAUGAAACCAAGAAAUUGUCCCGCCGAUACACCAAAUGCAUACUUAUUGGGAUUCAUUUUCAAACCAUGCUUCCUUGUGCAUUCCAACACCUUUCGCAAAUCGGCAAGAUGCUUUGUGAAGUCUCCAGACUUAACCACCACAUCAUCAAUAUAAAUUUCCACCAGCUUGCCAAUGAACUCAUGAAAUAUAAAAUUCAUGGCUCUCUAAUAAGUAGCACCAGCAUUCUUCAAGCCAAAGGUCAUGACUAUCCAUUCAAACAUCCCAACAUGACCAGGACAUCUAAAUGCAGUCUUUGGAAUAUCUUCUUCAGCCAUGAAUAUUUGAUUGUAUCCUGCAUUGCCAUCCAUAAAGCUGAUAAUCCGAUGCCCAGCCGUAGCAUCAACUAGCAGAUCGGCAACUGGCAUUGGGUAACCAUCCAUCAGUGUAGCCUUGUUAAGAUUCCUGAAAUCAAUGCAAACCCGAAGCUUCCCAUUUUUCUUAUAGACCGGAACAACAUUGGAAAUCCACUCGGCUUACCGACACUGCCGAAUAAACUUAGCUUCAAUAAGUUUAGUUAUUUCAGCCUUAAUAUCAGGAAGAAUAUUAGGAUUACAUCAGUGAGCUGGCUGUUGAUGUGGCAGAAAUCCAGACUUGAUAGGCAACUGAUGUUCAACAAUUGAUCGGUCCAAACCAGGCAUCUCAGUAUAAUCCCAAGCAAAGCAAUCUUUAUAUUCCUUUAACAAAUCAGUUAACUGUUGCUUACACUCAGAACUUAAUUUAGCACUAAUAAAAGUAGGUCUAGGUUUAUCACCACUACCUAUGUCUACCUCUACUUGAUCAUCGGCCGCUGUGAAUCCCUGGCCUAAUUGUCCAUCAUCGGCGAACCUAUCCAUCAAAAACCUUCGUCAGAACCGACUGCUUGGAUCGGUGGAAUUUCAUAAUCGGUGUUGACGGUCCUUAAGUAUCAAAUUUAAUUAUCAAAUAAACAAAGAAAAGGAUCCAAAUGAAAUCAACAUCUAGAGUUAGGGUUUUAUCUGACAGAAUUCCACGAGUUUUGGUGUUUGUCUAUUUCUGCAGGGGGUUAUCAGGAAAUACGGAAGAAAGGCCCACACAUCGGGAUUACAUAGAGAUAUUAACGUGCCACGCAAUUAUCUUACAUCUAGAAGACUCCAAAAGCCACGAGACCGAAGUGGAGACGAAACGGGGCCAGAGGUAGGGCGCCCGCCCCCUCCCUGAGUCCAAUCAGGACUCUGCUUCGUGGGAGAUCUCCACCGACCUAAAGGAUGUCUAAACCAUACAAUCUAUGUCGAUUUGAUCCAACGGCCCAUAUUCACUUGAAGGGACUAUAAAACCAGACCCCCUGGCCCCUGGAGGAGAGAGCCUCUCAACCCUAAUUCAUUGUUCCUCAAGGGAGAAGAAGCCUCCGAUCAAGAUUAGAGCCACCACAUCAAUUAGAUAUCUAGAUUAGCAUAGCUACAUAGGAUUAGAACUAGAAGGAGUCAAUCUUCGAUUGGUUUCCGGAUCUGUCAAGAGGAUUCUUGGUAAUUCUCUAAUUGUGCUUCUAAUUGUUCUUCUAAUUAUCUUUGUUCUUCAAUAUUAUGAAUAUGACUUUGUUCUACUUCAGUAUAUUGCUUAUGACUUUGCUCUAUUUGCUUAUAUUCAAGAUUAUAUUGUUCUUAGUUUAUCAUAGUUAUGUACUUGGCUUAGUUAGAUUGGAUCUAUAUACAUGCUUAGGAUCGUAUAGCGUUUAUCCAUCGGAUCCAUGGGUAAAUGAUAGAUAUUGUGUAGGCGUGGUGCUUAUACCGUAUUUAUCUGCGAUUAUACCCAAUAUGCCAGAUCGUGGGGUAGUUCGUGAUAGUGACAGCUUCAUUGAUUCUUAUAUAGUCUCCCUCUCGUGUAUUGGGCUGGCAGAGCAAUAUUAUUACAGGGGAGUGAUUGCUAUGUUUCUCAUUUACCUUGCUAAUAUCACUCAUAUGGGCGUAGUCUUGUCUCACAAUGAUUGCUAAGUAUGCUUGCACUAACUAUGAUAAUGCUAGACUAUAUAGUUGAGAAUAACUUAGGGAAUAUUCUUGUAGUUUGUUGUAAUACCAUGCUAAUGACUUUCUAGAGUAUCUAAUUGAGGUGCUUAUCAUAUUUAUAUAUGGCUGAUCAGAUUAAUUAUCUUUGUCACUAUUCAUUAUUUCAUAUAUCUUUUAUGUGUCAUUUAUCCCUGUAUGAAAGAGUUUGAUAUAUGUUCUCAAUUAUACAUGCAAUGAUAGAUACUCAAUCUCAUAUUCUAUUCUGUAAUCAAUAUUGAUGAUUGCUAAUCCCUUCCCAGUGGUAAAAAUAUAAAUAACGAUACCUGGAAUACUUCCCGGUUAAAAUGCUACAUCGGUAUUAAUCUGUGCGCUUGCAGAUCCCAUUCAUUAUUUAUUUAGAAGAGCAAUUGCAUAUUUCAAUACCGCGUCUCUCAUAUCAUGCUGGGGAUGACAACUUGGCUUAAGUGGUGUGAGGGAUAGGUUUGGCAUUUUUGGCACCGUUACUAGAUUUAGAGAACUUAGUCUACUUUUGGUAAUGAUGUUAAGAAUACCCAACAAGCAUUUUUGGCGCCGUUGCCGGGGAAGGUUGACUAAUAAUCAGGAAUGGAAGAAAGGAUUUUGAGUUAUCAUUCGCAUCACUAAUAUGAUUGAGCUUAUUUAUUCUCUCAUAUAGUUUUACCCCGAUAUUUUUCUAUUUUAUCUUAUGCAGGGGAAUGUAUGAAUAGAAGACAUCUUCCAGGAAAUUUUGUUGACAAUCCCGAAGCGUUAUUCAAGAAGACAAGAGCCAAGCUCAAGAAGAGAUCAUCAACACUUCAGCAAGAAGCUUCAUCCAAUCAAGAAGAUCACCGGAAUUUGUCUUCAGAGUUCGAAGCCAUGGCGAACAAAUCAAUCCGCGAGUUCUCAGCUCCCACUACGGACAUCAUCCACACUGGACCUGCUGCGGAGAUCGAUGGCAACUUUGAGCUCAAGCCUGGACUUAUCAACAUGGUGCAAUCCAACCAGUUCUGUGGGAAGGCACACGAAGAUGCUAGUGCUCAUCUACAGCACUUCCUGGAGAUUUGCAACACAUUUACCAUAUCAGGAGUUUCCAAAGAUGCUAUACUACUUCGCCUCUUCCCAUUCUCACUGUUAGGGAAAGUGAAGCAGUGGUUCUACGCUACAAAGGAAAAGAAUACUACGUGGGCACUCUGCUCAACAAACUUCCUCGCUAAGUUCUUUCCCAUGGGCAAGACCAAUGCUCUCCGUGGGAAGAUUACAAGUUUUCAGCAACAAAAUGAUGAAUCUGUUCCAGAAGCGUGGGAGCGCUUUCAAGACUACAUCCUAGAAUGUCCCCAUCAUGGAAUGGAGAGUUGGCUAUUGAUGCAGACGUUUUAUCACGGGCUCGGCAACAGUGCCCGAGAGACCAUGGAUGCUGCAGCUGGAGGAGCAUUCUUAUCACUUACCAUACCACAAGCCACAGCUCUUGUGGAGAAGAUGGCGUCCAAUCAAGGCUGGAAUGAAGAGAGGACCCAGACACGCAAGAGAGGUGGAGGUAUGCAUCAGCUGAAGGAGGUAGACAUGCUAUCUGCAAAGCUAGACCUGCUCAUGAAGAAGCUCGAUGAUAGAGCUGGAGAUAAGAAGGAAGUUAUGCACAUCUACGACUCUCACAUGACUUGUGAGGAGUGUGGAGACACUGGACACUCAGGCAACCACUACCCUGAGAUACUUGAGGAUGUGAACUACAUCAACAACAACAACAACAACUACUACUACUACAACCGUCCUCAACAAAAUCAAGGUUGGAAUCAACAGAGGCCUAACUACUCAGGUAAUUAUCAAGGUAAUAAUUCUUACAACAAUACUAGCAAUUUUCCACCUCUGAGAGAGUUAGUGUCUAAUCAAGGAAAGCUAAUGUAUAACCUAUCUAAGAAAUUGGCAUCUAAUGAUAAAAUACUAGAAAAUAUAAAUAAUACAAUGGAUAAUUUCUCUACUGCCAUCAAGAAUCAAAUUAGCUUUAAUAAAAUGAUUGAAUCUCAGUUAAAUCAAAUAGCUGCUGCUGUUCCUACUACUAACCCCGGUAUACCAUCAUAACCGGAAGGAUUAGAAUCUGCAAAUCUUGUAGACAUGUUUGAUGCAGGUAAUAAUUGGAGUAACCCCGUCACUGAAUUCACUACUGACCUUCUGCCGGUCAAGAGAGGUGAUCCAGGACGCCCCGUCAUCCCGAUCUCCAUCGGCAUGGUGGACGUCCCAGAAGCACUCUGUGACUUUGGCUCCAGUGUCAACAUUAUACCCAGUGUACUCUAUGAAAAAUUCUUUACAUAUCCUUUAUUAGAAACAACCAUGUGUUUGCAGUUUGCAGAUCAGACGAUAACUUUUCCUAAGGGAAUAGUAAAGAACCUUUGUGUCCGAGUUGGUACCUUAUAUGCCCCAGCAGACUUCGUAGUGGUAGUGACCGGAAAUGAUGAGAGGGCACCCAUCAUCUUAGGGAGGCCAUUCUUAAACACCACAGGAGCUAUCAUCUAUGCUAGUGCUGCCAAGAUCAGUUUCUACAUCAAAGGAAGGUAGGAGACGUUUUUCUUCAAGAACAAGACUACACAAAUUCCAGAUCAACCCAGACGUGAAUAAAGGAAGAGGACCAACAGGAGGAACAGGAACAAGCAAGUGUGGACCGAGUCAGCUAGGAUGGUCACUGUAGUUCAUGGAGGCCAAGAUCAUCAACUUAAGUCACCGUUUUUGACCAAGAAGGACGACCCAGGAAUGCCAAGCAUCUACUGCUCCAUAAAUGGAUACAGCUUCUACAAGACGUUUUGCGACACCGGAUCGGGCGUCAACAUAAUGGCCGCAGUCACCUAUCAGCUCUUAUUCGGAACCAUGCCCCUAAGACCAACAUAGAUUCAGCUCCAGAUGGUAGAUCAGACAUUUCGAGAAGUUAAAAGAAUAGUAACUGAUGUCCCAGUCAAAAUAGACGAUCAUUUUGUCUACACAGACUUUCAAGUUAUUGACAUGGGAGAAGAUGAAUACGAUCCACCCAUCAUCCUUGGAAGACCGUUCCUCAGCACCGUUAAAGCAAUUAUCUACAUUGAAACCCAAGAAGUCCAUAUGCACUUCCCCUCAGAGAAGGUACGCCGUUAUUUUACUUACCCUGACUAUAUCGUUGAAGAAUCUAAGCAGGUAAGAAAACGCCGCAACCGCAACCUGAGGAGGCAAAUCAUCAAGGACGGAUGGGCAGACUAUGAAGGAGAAGUUGUAAGGUCAGAAGACGUAGAGUUUAAACAGAAUUAUCCAGAGGAGACCGUAGCACCGAGUCAGGUAUGGAAAGAGAAGAUAACUAUACAUGAAGAGGAGGCGCCGCCGGAAGUACCGACUCCGCCACCCAACGAAUCCCAGAACAAUUGAGAAAUGGAGAGUCCUGUUCGGAGGACUUAAAAACACCGAACGCCUUGCCAAGAGAUAAACUUGGUAGUUAUCCUUUUCCUUUCAAUUAUUUAAAAUAGUUUGCUUAGUUAAUCAUGUUCAUACUAUCUUAAAAAGAAAAUAAAAAUGUGAAAAACAGUAAAGCCCCAUGUGAGUAUACGAGUGGCAUAAAACCCAUAAGUACAUUCACCGUGGUGGCAUAAAAAUAAAAUAAAAAUAUUUCUUUUCUGCUUUAUAAAAAUGAAAAUAUAAAAACAGGGAGUAACAUUUAUUAAGGAGUCUCAACAUGAUAAAGGCUAGAUAUUUAUGCUAACACUUAAUCAGUUCCACAAGCUUUGUUGUCUAUUUGAGCUCCACAGAAUUUAAGAAUCAAGAAGACUAGCAGACUGUUGACACUAGCUAACACCACUUAGAUACUAGGUUGUCAUCCCUAGCAUGGCGCCAGAGUGUACAAAGGUAUUUAUAAAUGUAAAGGCUCUCUAGAAAAUAAUCUAUUCUAUCCGCAAGCGCACAGAUAAAACACCUCAUUGUAGCAUUUCACCAGGAUAAGUAUUCCAGGUAUCGUUAUUUAUAAUUUUGCUUAGGGGAUCUCAAGAAGAUGGAAUUAAAUCAAGGGGCAAAAUCUAUCAAGGCAUAGACUAGAGAUAAAUUUGCAAGAACAUGAUUACUAAUAAGAAACUCGUCACACAGUCACAUACUUUAGCAGGGGGUAAACCAUAAAGAUAAUGAUAAUAAAGUAUAAGUUCAUGGGUAGAUAGCACAGCGAUUAGAAAAUAGACUACUCCUCAUAUAUGUAGGUGAUGUCGGAUUAGCUAGAGAAUGGAUUCUAAGUUAUCUACUAACUACUAAGUCAUAAUCUACUCUAGUUAUCUACAAGAUCAUAUAUAGCAUAAAAGACUCUUCAUUCAUGUAUAAGGAACAUUGAUAAAGUAAAUCAGAACAUCGCAUGACUUACUCCACAAUACCGGUUCUGCCUGUCCUAUCAAUGGAGGGUGGACUAUAUAAGAAUCAACGAAGCUGUCACUAUCGCGAACUACCACACGACUCGGCCAAUAGGAUACAUUUGCAGAUAAAUAACAUCUAAGCACCACGCUCACAUGUGAUCUAUCACCUAACUCCCUCGUGACAAGAGCUAAGCGCUUUGCAAACUUAUACAUAAACUCAUUAUCAAUUAGAACUAUAUCAAAUAUAGAACUAGAGCAAACUAAGAACAUAAUAAUUAAAGACAUAAUGCAAUUAGAACAAUAGAAUUAGAGAAAGAUAUGAAUAAUACCAAUCUUUAUUACCGAAGAUCCGAAUCCAGAGCGUAGUGCUCUACUUCUCUAAUUGCUAUCUAAUCAACCUCUAAACUUGAAGGAUUAGGGAGUAGCUAAUUCUAAUUCUCUGUGGGAGAGAGAUCUAAACCCUAAAUUUGAUGGCUACCUCUGAAUAAUGAUUUCUCCUCUCCUCCUCCAGGGGCCAGGGGGUCUGGUUUUAUAGUCCCCUCAAGUGAACGUGAGCCAUUGGAUCAAACCGACAUAGAUUGUAUGGUUUAGAUUGAUCCUUUAGGUCGGUGGAGUCUUGCCCCGAAGCAGAGUCCUGUUUGGCUUCCUGGCCAGGGCGGGCGCCCAAGGGGGUGGGCGGCCGCCCAGCUCCCGAGCCCGAUUCGCGUCCCGUUCGUUCCCGUGGCUUCUGGAUCCUUCUAGAUUGAGGAAAAUUGUGCGGCACGUAAUUAUCUCGUUGUAAACAUGACAUGUGGGCCUUCUCUCCCUAUUUUCUGAUAAACCCCUGUAGAAAUAGAUAAACACCAAAGCUCAUGGAAUUCUGUCAGAUAAAACCCCUAUUCUAGAUGUUUGUUUCAUAUUGAUCCUUUUUCAUGUUUAUUUGAUUAUUAAUUUUAGUACUUAAGGACCGUCAACAAACUCCCCCAAGCUUACCCUUUGCUUGUCCCUAAGCAAAUAGCUAAACUCAGACGGAUCAGGAGUUGCUUCGAUGUUUUCUUUCCUGACAGACACACAUGCUUUUACAUAAAAAAUUCUUCUAGAUUAGAGUGAAGUGUUAUGGAGUUUAGUACCUGUACUUAAAUCUUAAGUAAUCGAAAGACAAAAUAGUUAAGUCAAGAACUAUCCCUCCUGCCUAUACUUCACCAUUGUUCUAGAGUUUUUCAUAAGUUUUCAAAAUAAAACUCAAAUUUCCCAGCAAUGAUUCUCUCAGGUCUCUCUAUAUGUGGUAUUUGUGGAUGCUUACCAUAAUGUCACUUACCUAUAGCUAAUGGAAUAUUUAAGUGGAGCUCAUAGGAGUGGAAAACAGCUCAUACAUAUGUUGUCUAAUCGAGCCAUGGAUCCAAAGGAACUCAGCAUAUAAUUAAAUUAAGAUGUGCAUGUGUGGUGGAGUAAAUGAUAGUGAUGAUGAAAAUGCGAUAGUGUUAAUAAAUCUUAGUUCUCAUUGCUCUUCAUAUUGCUAUCUCUCCUCCUCUUUGAUCUUUGCCUUGGGAGAACAUGGGCUUUUUUUUCAGGUGGGUAGUAGAUACCCCUAAUUCUACUGUCGGACACUUGUCUAUUUUUUCCGCUCAAGUGGGUAUCUUUGUACCCCUAAUUCUACUUCGGACACUUGUCCAUUUUUACCUCUCGUCUCACUCUUUUUCUUUCUUUUCCGAGGUUCCCGGGCACUUGCCCCUUUUUAUUUCCUCGUAUAUUUUUGCAUAACCCAUGCCUCUUCUGCAUUGAAUCUUUUUAGAGAGAGAGAAUAACAAUACUUGGGACAGUGAGUGAUAAUAUUUUUAGCAAUUUUAAUGAUUGGUGAUGAAUGCUGUGGUAGAUGUGUGCAAGUGAAUAUCUUAAUUUAACCACAUGAAAAGCUCCUAAGGGUCAACACAGCUCGAUCAAACUCAAUGUAAAUAUAGUAAAAGAUGUUAUAGCAAGUAUGGCUGUGGUAGGUAGUUUGUUACGCUAGGAACUCAUCAUGUGAUUUGUAAGUUUUCAAAGUAAAUCUCCAGAACUUAGUGUAGUAGGAACAAGAUAAACAGUAGCUCAACUUUAUAUCAUGCCUUUCUCUUACCUAGACUUUAGUGUUAUGCUUCUCAAAGAUAGUAAUUUUAGUUUUAGUAAUUUCUGGAAGAACUCUAAUAUAAAAGCUAGGUACUUGUAAGUAAGCAAACAGAGCAACUGUUCAUCAUUUCCAUCAUGCAUAUUUUUGGUCUUUUUAUUUUUUUCUAGAGAUUAAACUUAGCAGAAAAAUAAAGCACACUUAUCUACACAUUCUUUUUAUUUUGUUUUCAUGUUUAUAAAGUGCAGUAAAUUAAAGCAAGAAAUUAUUUAUUUGGUUUUCUAAGUUUUUUUCUUUCUUUUAAGAUAAAUAAAAUACUAAGACAGAAUAAAAUAAAUAAGAAGAGCAAAUAAAAACUUACUUGAUAAUUUUGGGAGAAACUCCCCCAAGCUGGAUGUUGACGUCGGUCUUACCCGAUGUUCCAGAACCGAAUCAUGGUUGUGAUAUUGUCGUUCAUUGUUGUUGUAUCUUGUCUCAAUUCUUGUACUGCAGCGGCAUGGUCCUGGUUCCAUUUUUGUUGUUCUUCCAGGAGUCUUCCAUGUUCUGCUUGCGUGUUCUGGAUGUCGAGGAGGGUGUUGUCGGUACGAGAGAAGAAAGCACCGGCCUCUUGAUAGUAGUCAUUCGUGAAGGCGUAGGAGGCGUCGGAGUCUCGUCCUGCAUCAAAUUGAGGCGGAGGUCUAGAUCCUGAAGCUCCAUAUGGAUCAGUGGAGUACCUGCCCGUAUGAAAAGGCGGGUUUGUCCACUGGUGAUCUUGGCUCUCCGGCCAUGUCUCCUCUGUUGGCUCUUGUGGUUGCGCAUGACGAGCCCAUGGGUCUCGAAGGACUCGUGGAUUGUAAUCACAAUAAUGCAGGUGCGCUGCUUCUUCUGGUCCAGGGUCAGCUCCAUACCAAGUGCGUUCUCGGUGAGUGGUUAUCCUUUCAGAUUCCACUUGUUGUGGAGUUCUCUGGUUCACUGGUGUUGCCGGAAUCUCAAUCAAAAAGUUUUGCACAGAGUAGAGUCCAAGGUUCGGGUUAGGUAACCGAAUCUUGCCUUUAUUAUCAUAUAGCAUAUACAUUAUAUUCCCCUCUUUCUUUAACAUCCGAGCUUGUCUAAAUGUAUCACAGCUAUGAUAAAUUCUUAAUUCUUCUAUGAAAUCCAAUGACGAGUUUUCUAGUAAGUGAAGAUUAGUGGCUAGACGAGUGAUAAGUGAAGUACAUCCUACUGGUCCCUGAAGACUAGGUAUACUAAACCAAUGUGAAACUAAUAAUGUAACAGGUGAAGUAGGUACUUUACUAAUAGCAGCAUAUAAAAGAUGUAAAUCUCCUACUCUUACUUUCCUAAUAUCAUCACGAUAGAAAAGAUUGUACCCAAGCAAUUUGUGAAACAUCCUAAGAGUGGGGUGUUCCAUGUCACUGGUUCGGGCUUGACUGUAAAAAUUAUCUCUAGAUAUUUCUCUCCAAAACUGGUGUCUCUCAAAAUUGGGUAAAUCAGAGUCAAUGUUCAGGAUGCAUCUUGAAGAGAAACCAAGAUGGUCGCUUAGCUCUCUCCAGGAUAACAUAAUUUCCUGUUUAAACAUCCGAAAAACAAUUCCCCCCUCAUAGUAUUGUAAGGUGCAAAGAAAUUCGAGGGUGAGAAGACGAGAACCCAGCUCAGUUAUAUUCCAAAAAUUUGUCCAACCCAUCAUCUGAAAAAUUAAGUCAAAUUCAGUGUCCAUACCUGUUUCUCGUAGUAGGAUUGGAUCGAUAGUAGGGGUGUGAAUGAAAUCUUUGUUCUUCAAUUGCUGAUAGACUUCCUUCUCUCUUCAGGCCUUCAGUCCUAGGUCUCCUAUCUUGAGAAGGACCUUAACUUGCUGACCUGAUGAAGAUGACGGAGCUUGUGUGGGUGUCGGGUCGACGCUCAUCUCUGAUGGUUGUGAGGAGUGUCGGGAUGAACUCCUCGUACCAAUGUUCUUGAUAGCCUUCCCUGCAUUCUUUACCUUCUUAAACAUCCUGCAAACAAAAGUUGGCAAAAACCCAACUGGUGGAAAAUGUGAGAUAAAAUGUUAGUGGUCAGCUGUCCGGAGUAUCAGUAGUCUAGGGAUUAAUCGUUCAAGACAAGUUUCUAUUUCGGUAGAGCCUCCCCCCUAAACAACUUUUACUUCUGUUUAGACAACGGGAUCACUACUUGCUAGGUGAUAAUCACUCUCUCGAAAGAACUCCAACCUUCCCUUCCACUCUCCCCUUUCUCUCUACUCUCUUCUCUUCACUACAAAAGCUCCUUCUCGGGAAACUGAGAUUUGUGUGGUUUUCUGGAGUGUUUGUGUGAAGAGAAGGAGAGCUGGAGGUGGCCUUUUAUAGAAGGAAAAGGGGACAGGGCGGGCGCCCUUGGUAGGUGGGCGGGCGCCCACUUGUGAUGCCCAUCCUGGGUGUGCCUCCUCCACUUGCUUCCUUGCUUUGAUCUCACGCAGAAUAAUAUUGUGUUGGUAGUGGUUGGACGGUGGAAAGAUGUCAAGUAAGUGGAAACAUAUUGGUGGAUGAAAUUAUGUGAUGGGAUGUAUGUGAGGUGAAGUGUAUGACAUGUGGGACCCAAGGAGUGUGGGUCAUGCUUCUAGAAGGUUAAUAUAAUUAAAUAUAAUACAGGAAAAAUCUAUGAGAAUUGAAACUUAAUUAAAAUGAUAAUGGGAAAUAUUUUUGUGCCUCCACAAUAAUUAAUAAAUAUGGGUUGUUACACACCACGAAUAUUAUUUAUAUGGGGCUUUUUGAUUAUUAUAAUUAUGCUAUGAAUGUAUGACUAAUGCAAGAAUUAAUUAUGCAAGAAUGAGAAAAUUGAUAAUGCGGAUAAAUACCGAUUUACCUCCCGGUGAGGGUUUGGGAUUUUUAGGUCCCCCAAGCUAGACCUCCAAAGCUUUUAAUCUUCUGAGUUACCUUCCUCUGGAGAUGGUGUCUCCAGUGGUUCUUCAUGAACUUCCUUCACUGUAGAGUCUCUCUCUGGUCUGGGUUUGAAUGUGAAGUGUUCUUCUUGACCAUUUAUGUUGAACUUGAUUUCUCCUUUCCCGACAUCAAUGUGGGCAUUAGCAGUGCUUAGAAAUGGUCUUCCAAGGAUGAUGGACACUUUCGAGUCAGGACUCAUGUCCAGUACUAUGAAAUCUACUGGCACCAGGAAAUCUCUGAUCUUGACUGGAAUGUUCUCGGCGAUGCCCAACGGGUGUCGAACCGAUUGAUCCGCUAGUUGUAGGCACAUUGAUGUUGGUUCUAAGGUUGCAUGCUCAAGCUUUUUGUAGACUGAUGCUGGCAUCACACUGACACUUGCUCCGAGAUCACAAAGUGCAUUGUUGAAGUGUUGGUUUCCGAUCGAGCAGUCAAUAGUGGGACAUUCGGGAUCUUCCUUCUUCUUUGGUGGCUUAUUGAGGAUGGCCGCACUACAUUCUUCCGUCAGCUUGAUAACCUCAGUGGUGGGCAGUGGUCUCUUCUUGUUAAGAAUAUCUCUGAUGUACUUUGCAUAUGUAGGUACCUGUAUGGCAUCGAGCAGAGGUAUGUUGACAUAUAAUUUCUGAAUGACCUCUACAAACUUACCAAACUGCUCAUCCGACUGCAGUCCUCUAUUUCUUCUGGGAAAUGGCAAAUAGUUGGUGUCGUAAAAAUCUUUCCUCAUUUCUCCAGUUCUUGGUGGUUGGAGUAGAUCUUCUGCUUCAACUGGGCUUUCUUCUUCUAUCACUGCUGGUUGCACUGGUGCUGAUGAUCUUUGUUUCUCUUUUGGGUAUGGUGGAUCUCUGGUAGCUUUGCCUCCUCUAGUAGUUAUAUUCUUUACCUGCUCAAGGUUAGUAGCAACAGGCAGUGCAGCAGCUAUCUUUAUUAAUUUAAGCUCUACCCUUUUAUUAAGAGUGUUUUGCUCAUCAAAGGCAGUUAGUAGAAAAUCCAUUUUAUUGUGUAUAUCUUUUAGAAAUGAUUCAUUUGUAUCUAGCCUUUGUUUAACUUCAUCAUUAAUUUUGGUUUGUUGAGCAAUUAUCUCAUUUAAUGAAAGUUGCUUGCAAGUAUUACCUGAAUUCAUACCUUUGCUAUUGGGUUGACUUGAAGUUGGUUGAUAUUUGUAUGCUGUCUCAAUGGCCCUUUGAUCUUCUUUGAACUUGGCCCUCUGGUCAAUCCAAUGGAGCAAAUUUUCCAUCUUAGUUGAUAAUGCUUUUACUUCUUCUGGUAUUUCUUCAGCUUGAUGACAUUGUUGAGCUUUAUCUUGGAACCAACUUUGGUUUUCUGCUAUCUUAUCCAAAAGUAUCUCUGCUUUUCCAGUUGUAAGCUCCAAGAAUGAUCCUUUAGCAGAUGCAUCUAGGCACUCACGAGCCUUCUGGGUUAAUCCAUGGUAGAAGGUCUGCAUAAGUAACCAUGUGGCCAUUCCAUGGUGAGGACAAUCUGAUAUGUUUCCUUGAAAACGCUCCCAUGCUUCUGAAAUGGCUUCUGUCUUCUGCUGUUGGAAACUGACAAUAUUUCCUCUUAAGGCAGUUGUUUUGUCUAUAGGGAAAAACUUUGAUAGAAAGGCAUCUGACAAGUUCGUCCAGUUGUUGAUGUUAUUUUGAUGAGUGUAGAACCACUUCCUCGCUUUUCCUUCUAGUGAGAAUGGAAAAAGGCGAAGCAGUAUGACGUCUUUGUCAACUCCGUUGAUGUGGAUUGUGCUUCCAAUCUCUAAGAAAUUCUGUAAGUGUGCACUGGCAUCUUCAUGUGCCUUUCCACUGAAUUGUGUAGCUUGUACCAAAUUAAUGAGGCUUGACUUGAGCUCAAACUCAGGUAUUCCUUCUUCUACUGCAAAUCUUGGACUGGUUGGAAUGUUGUCAAGACUUGGAGCAGAGAAUUCUUGCAAGGUCUUUUGUGCCAUAGCUUCAGCAAUUGGUAGCUAGUUUCUUCUUCUCUUGAUUGCUUUGGUUCUGAUGAUGAAGAGUUGAAUGCACCUAAAGUCAAUCCUGUUAUACCCUGUAUAAAAAUAUAAACAUAGAAAAACAACAGGGUGAACCUGCCAAAGCAGAGGUGCCUUGUUAUGAUUUCUCACUUAGUAGCUGUUUUUAUGCAAUUAUUUCUCUAUAGUCUAGUCUAAAAUUUUAUAUGAAUAACCUUGAUUGAUUUUCUGGCUUUCCUUAAUAUUACCCUUUUGUUCCCUUUUAUGACUUAUUCCUGAGACUCGUAUAAUUCCUAUAAUUCCUAUAAGUUCCAUAAGUUCCCCGGCAACGGCGCCAGAAAUGCUUGUUGACACUAGCUAACACCACUUAGAUACUAGGUUGUCAUCCCUAGCAUGGCGCCAGAGUGUACAAAGGUAUUUAUAAAUGUAAAGGCUCUCUAGAAAAUAAUCUAUUCUAUCCGCAAGCGCACAGAUAAAACACCUCAUUGUAGCAUUUCACCAGGAUAAGUAUUCCAGGUAUCGUUAUUUAUAAUUUUGCUUAGGGGAUCUCAAGAAGAUGGAAUUAAGUCAAGGGGCAAAAUCUAUCAAGGCAUAGAGUAGAGAUAAACUUGCAAGAACAUGAUUACUAAUAAGAAACUCGUCACACAGUCACAUACUUUAGCAGGGGGUAAACCAUAAAGAUAAUGAUAAUAAAGUAUAAGUUCAUGGGUAGAUAGCACAGCGAUCAGAAAAUAGACUACCCCUCAUACAUGUAGGUGAUGUCGGAUUAGCUAGAGAAUGGAUUCUAAGUUAUCUACUAACUACUAAGUCAUAAUCUACUCUAGUUAUCUACAAGAUCAUAUAUAGCAUAAAAGACUCUUCAUUCAUGUAUAAGGAACAUUGAUAAAGUAAAUCAGAACAUCGCAUGACUUACUCCACAAUACCGGUUCUGCCUGUCCUAUCAACGGAGGGUGGACUAUAUAAGAAUCAACGAAGCUGUCACUAUCGCAAACUACCACACGACUCGGCCAAUAGGAUAAAUUUGCAGAUAAAUAACAUCUAAGCACCACGCUCACAUGUGAUCUAUCACCUAACUCCCUCGCGACAAGAGCUAAGCGCUUUGCAAACUUAUACAUAAACUCAUUAUCAAUUAGAACUAUAUCAAAUAUAGAACUAGACCAAACUAAGAACAUAAUAAUUAAAGACAUAAUGCAAUUAGAACAAUAGAAUUAGAGAAAGAUAUGAAUAAUACCAAUCUUUAUUACCGAAGAUCCGAAUCCAGAGCGUAGUGCUCUACUUCUCUAAUUGCUAUCUAAUCAACCUCUAAACUUGAAGGAUUAGGGAGUAGCUAAUUCUAAUUCUCUGUGGGAGAGAGAUCUAAACCCUAACUUUGAUGGCUACCUCUGAAUAAUGAUUUCUCCUCUCCUCCUCCAGGGGCCAGGGGGUCUGGUUUUAUAGUCCCCUCAAGUGAACGUGAGCCAUUGGAUCAAACCGACAUAGAUUGUAUGGUUUAGAUUGAUCCUUUAGGUCAGUGGAGUCUUGCCCCGAAGCAGAGUCCUGUUUGGCUUCCUGGCCAGGGCGGGCGCCCAAGGGGGGUGGGCGGCCGCCCAGCUCCCGAGCCUGAUUCACGUCCCGUUCGUUCCCGUGGCUUCUGGAUCCUUCUAGAUUGAGGAAAAUUGCGCGGCACGUAAUUAUCUCGUUGUAAACAUGACAUGUGGGCCUUCUCUCCCUAUUUUCUGAUAAACUCCUGCAGAAAUAGAUAAACACCAAAGCUCGUGGAAUUCUGUCAGAUAAAACCCCUAUUCUAGAUGUUUGUUUCAUAUUGAUCCUUUUUCAUGUUUAUUUGAUUAUUAAAUUUAGUACUUAAGGACCGUCAACACAGACGGAGGACAUUCUAAUCACUGUCAGAAUGCUGCUGACUUUCAAAUACACCUCUGCCACCUGCUAGCUACAUCAAGGGAAAUUACGUCAAAAUUCAGCUUGGGGGAGAGCACCCCCAUUUAUCCCGAUAAGUAUUUCUAUCUAUCUAUCUAUCUUUAUACUUAUACUAUAUUAAAAUAUAACUAUGGAAAACCAAAUAAUGAUUUUAUGCUUAUAUGUAUAUAUCUUUUGCUUAGUGUGUUUAAUAAAUAAAUAAAGUGGCUAUGCUAAUCUGUAUCUAAAUAAAACUCAAGCAUGGAUAUGAUGAAUAGUUGCUCUGCCUAAUUUUAAAAUUUGAAGUUCUCUCUCAAGUUUAGACAUAACUGUUAUAAUUUAAAGCUUGCUCUAGACCUAAACUUGUGGGAUGAAAACUUGAUCUGAAGUCUAAGUUGUUAACAGAUAUGAUAUGGGAAGGUUGAGCUGCUGUCUAUCUGUUCCUAGAGAUGCUAGAAUUCUGGAGAAUUUUAUCUUUAAAAAUCUUUAAAAUGUUGCAUGAUGAGUUCCUCUAUGAUGAGAGUUUUAAAUUCCUACCAUAGCCAUAUAUACAUGCUUGCUAGACUUUGAGUCACACAUUCACUAUUUACUGUUUAUGAGCAUUGAGUGUGGUCAAGCUGUGUAGACCCUUAGGAGCUUGUCAUGUGGUUAAAUCAAGAUUCACUUGCACGUUCACUCAUAUAUGCUACUUCUACUCCGGAAGUACCAUCCACAUAUAUCCACCCAUUCCAUCUCCAGAACCACCUAAAAAUAUUCUACUCCUAAUCCGGGAGAGAAUAACCAAAAAUAUUUCUGUUUUUCCCUUGUGAAAUAAAUGCUCAAGUUAUCUUGUUACUACCACUUGCUAAAUUUUCUCAAGAGAUGAGUGCUCUAAAAAAAGAGAAAAAAAUACGAGGAAAUAAAAAGGGGCAAGUGCCCGGAACCUCGAAAGAAAAGAAAAAAGUGAGACGAGAGGUAAAAAUGGACAAGUGUCCGACAGUAGAAUUAGGGGUACAAGAUACCCACCUGAGAGAAAAGAAAAAGAAGAGCAUCUCAUUCUCCUCAUAAAGUUUCAAAAAGCAAGGAAGGUAUGUAUCCCCUCAAAAGAGCAAAGUAGAAUUAGACUUUCACCAUUGUAUCACCAUCAUCACCAUACACCAUUCAUUCGCCACACAUGCACAUCUUGAUUUGACUUAUUGAUUUGUUUCUUUGGAUCCAUGGUUUGACUAUGCAAUACAUGUCUUGUAAGUAUGUAUACUUUGUCUCCCACCUAUGAGCUCCAGAUAUUAAAGCCUUAUUAGAAUAGUGUGAGAGAGAAGGCAAUGUCACUAUGCUUUAUACCACAAAUACCACAUACUUAUUGAGAGAAGGCAUAUACCAUCACUGCCUUGGUAAGGAUCCAAAAAUACCACAAAAGAGAGAUAUGAGAGAAUCAUACAAGGAAUCUCUGAGUUUUAUUUGAAAAUCUGCAAAAACUCCAGAGCUAUAGCUGAUCAAGAAUGAGAGAAAUGGCACUUGGCUAGACUGUUCUAUCUUUUAACUACUCAAGACAGAAGUGACGGUUACAAGUCCCAUGGUGAAAGGUAAAGUAAGUAAGUUUUAAAGUCUUGACAGUUUACUCUAACUCAGAGAUGAGAUCUUAUUUAAAAAGCAUGUGUACUGCCAAAUUUUUAAAAAGAUAUUGCAACAACUUAUGAUCCAUCGCUGAGUCUAUCCUUGCUCAGGGACGAGCAAGAGGUAAGCUUGGGGGAGUUUGUUGACGGUCCUUAAGUAUCAAAUUUAAUUAUCAAAUAAACAAAGAAAAGGAUCCAAAUGAAAUCAACAUCUAGACUUAGGGUUUUAUCUGACAGAAUUCCACGAGUUUUGGUGUUUGUCUAUUUCUGCAGGGGGUUAUCAGGAAAUACGGAAGAAAGGCCCACACGUCGGGAUUACACAGAGAUAUUAACGUGCCAUGCAAUUAUCUUAUAUCUAGAAGACUCCAGAAGCCACGAGACCGAUGCGGAGACAAAACGGGGCCAGAGGCAGGGCGCCCGCCCUGCUCCCCUAGGCGCCCGCCCCCUCCCUGAGUCCAAUCAGGACUCUGCUUCGUGGGAGAUCUCCACUGACCUAAAGGAUGAAUCUAAACCAUACAAUCUAUGUCGGUUUGAUCCAACGGCCCAUAUUAACUUGAAGGGACUAUAAAACCAGACCCCCUGGCCCCUGGAGGAGAGAGCCUCUCAACCCUAAUUCAUUGUUCCUCAAGGGAGAAGAAGCCUCUGAUCAAGAUUAGAGCCACCACAUCAAUUAGAUAUCUAGAUUAGCAUAGCUACAUAGGAUUGGAACUAGAAUGAGUCAAUCUUCGUUUGGUUUCCGGAUCUGUCAAGAGGAUUCUUGGUAAUUCUCUAAUUGUGCUUCUAAUUGUUCUUCUAAUUAUUUUUGUUCUUCAAUAUUAUGAAUAUGACUUUGUUCUACUUCAAUAUAUUGCUUAUGACUUUGCUCUACUUGCUUAUAUUCAAGAUUAUAUUAUUCUUAGUUUAUCAUAGUUAUGUACUUGGCUUAGUUAGAUUGGAUCUAUAUACAUGCUUAGGAUCGUAUAGCGUUUAUCCAUCGGAUCCAUGGGUAAAUGAUAGAUAUUGUGUAGGAGUGGUGCUUAUACCGUAUUUAUCUGCGAUUGUACCCAAUAUGCCAGAUCGUGGGGUAGUUCGUGAUAGUGACAGCUUCAUUGAUUCUUAUAUAGUCCCCCUCUCGUGUAUUGGGCUGGCAGAGCAAUAUUAUUACAGGGGAGUGAUUGCUAUGUUUCUCAUUUACCUUGCUAAUAUCACUAUGCAUGGGCGUAGUCUUGUCUCACAAUGAUUGCUAAGUAUGCUUGCACUAACUAUGAUAAUGCUAGACUAUAUAGUUGAGAAUAACUUAGGGAAUAUUCUUGUAGUUCGUUCUAAUACCAUGCUAAUGACUUUCUAGAGUAUCUAAUUGAGGUGCUUAUCAUAUUUAUAUGUGGCUGAUCAGAUUAAUUAUCUUUGUCACUAUUCAUUAUUUCAUAUAUCUUUUAUGUGACAUUUAUCCCUGUAUGAAAGAGUUAGAUAUAUGUUCUCAAUUAUACAUGCAAUGAUAGAUACUCAAUCUCAUAUUCUAUUCUGUAAUCAAUAUUGAUGAUGGCUAAUCCCUUCCCAGUGGUAAAAAUAUAAAUAAUGAUACCUGGAAUACUUCCCGGUUAAAAUGCUACAUCGGUAUUAAUCUGUGCGCUUGCAGAUCCCAUUCAUUAUUUAUUUAGAAGAGCAAUUGCAUAUUUCAAUACCGCGUCUCUCAUAUCAUGCUGGGGAUGACAACUUGGCUUAAGUGGUGUGAGGGAUAGGUUUGGCAUUUUUGGCACCGUUACUAGAUUUAGAGAACUUAGUCUACUUUUGGUAAUGAUGUUAAGAAUACCCAACAAUCGGCAACCUUCAGAAAAUCCUUUUCCCAAACUUCUCCUGAAAUACACCUAGUUCUUUCGUAGGUGUCUGCCUCUGCCGAUGCAAUAACAUAAGAAAAUCUCCCGGGACAAUCUCAAUCUUGUCACCUACCCACUGGACCAAGCACUGGUGCAUUGUAGACGGGAUGCAACAAUUGGCAUGAAUCCAAUCUCUUCACAGAAACAUGUUAUAAGCACCUUUUCCACUGAUCACGAAGAAGGUUGUCGGCAAGGUAUUGCUGCCGAUUGUCAACUCAACGCAUAUCGCCCCCUUAAUAGGAGACAUGUUGCCCUCAAAGUCUUUGAGCAUCAUAUCGGUCUUGGUCAAGUCCUGAUCCCCUUUCCCAAGCUUCCGAUAUACUGUAUAUGGCAUGAUGUUGAUAGCUGCUCCACCAUCAACUAAAAUCUUGGUCAUUGGCUGACCAUCCACCCUUCCUUUGACAAACAAAGCCUUCAGAUGUUGCCUUUCAUCAUCGGCAGGCUUUUCAAAGAUGGCUGUCAUCGGAUCUAGAGCCAACUGAGCUAUUUGGUCGGAAAACUCCAACUCAUCAUCACUGGUCGGCGCAAGGAAUUCCAUCAGCAACAUAAAUACCAUGUUGAUGUCUGUCGAUGGCCCCUUUCCCUUAGGAUCUGAUGGUUGCUGAUCCACAGACUGGCCAGAGUUCUCGCCCUUGCUUAACUCUUCUCGCCUUUCACGCCGCAGUCUUCUUUUCUGUGUCCUGGUCAACCCCUCUGGACACCAUGGAGGAAAUUGCUGCUGCCUUACCGAUGGGCGACGAUUCUCCCUUGACUCCAUCCGAUAAGUAUUGGCGUCCCUACAGAGGAUGAACUCAUCGGGAACCCGCGCAUUAGCCAUCUCUUCAAGUUCUUCCUGGUUCCUAGGAAAAUAUUCAAUACGAUCGCCAAGCCUGUCGUGCACACUGAGCCUGCCCCCCAGCCGGUCAUGAACGGACGCUCUCCCCCUAAUCGGCCCAUGAAAUCGCCGAUCAUCAUCGUGAUAGCGCCGAUCGGAUCUGUCAUACCGAUCAUAACCAUUGCAUUCAGGACAAUCUCUGACAGUAGGAAGCUUGAUAUUUUCCUCCCAACAAUGGAUGAAGAACGGACAAUUCCAGUGAUCCCUAUGCCGAUUCCACUCCUGUCGACGUCUUUCUUCUUCCCGACGAUAGUCCUCUUGCUGGCGCCGAUACCGAUCCUCACGUUGCUGUCAAGUUUCCCGAGGCCUUCUGUGAGUUAUUACAAUACCAGACCGGGGAGCCCUCCCUAACUUAGUCCUCUCCUGGAUCAAGCCUUUCCCUUUUGCAUCGGCAGUAGUGACCUGAUGCUGUGGAUCUACCGAUGCACUUCUUUCAGCUGCUUCCGAUGUUAAGACCUUGGCCUUUCCCUUAGCAUCCUGCAUGUUUGUUGGGAAAGGAUGUUGAUCAAUCUUCAUCAGCUUCUGAGUUUUGGAGCUAUCGAAUUUGAUUCUUCCAGACUCUAUAGCCGAUUGCAGCUGUUGCCUAAAAACUUUGCACUCAUUGGUGCAGUGAGGAGUCGCAUUGUGCCAUUUGCAAUACUUCAUCUUCUUCAAUUCCUCAGCCGAUGGGAUUACAUGAUUGGGUGACAAUUUGAUCUGACCUUCCUGAAGUAGAAAGUCAAAUAUCCUAUCGGCCUUAGUGAUGUCAAAUGCAAACUUCUCCGGCUCUUUGUGCCCAAAAGGGCAAGACAUCGGCUUCUUGUUCUUUACCCAUUCUGCCAAGCCAAUGACUGGUUCCUCAUUAGAGUCUGAGCUUCCUGCUUCAUCCACAAAUGAUACCUUUUUGUUCCAUGCUCUCUUGGGCUCGAAAGGCUUGAUAUCUUGAUCAGAAAUCCCUUGCACCAAAUGACUUAAGCUUUCAAACUCUUGAGACGCAUACUUGUCCCUCAUGUGUGGCAACAAACCCUGGAAAGCUAAAUCGGCUAGCAGCCGAUCUUAGACUAUAGCAUUUGUUCUUGACUUCCCGUAUUCUCUGCACAAAACUUUCAACCGAUUCAUCAUUGUGUUGCUUCAAUUUGACCAAAUCGGUGAUUUUCUUCUCAUGGACUCCAGAAAAGAAGUAUUUGUGGAAUUGCUUCUCCAGAUUGGCCCAAGUAAUCACUGAGUUAGGAGGUAAUGAGAUAAACUAGGUGAAUGCCGAUCCAAACAAUGAUGAUGAGAACAACCGAACUUUUAACUCGUCCCUGUUAGCAGCUUCUCCACACUGAAUGAUGAAUCUAUUGACGUGCUCCAUGGUCGAUGUAUCAUCCUGCCUAGAAAACUUAGUAAAAUCCGGCACUUUGUACCGAUUUAGAAGCGGAAUUAAAUCAUAUGCAGGAGGAUACAGUGUCCGAUAAGAGUAAGUAUUGGCUUUGGGUUUUAUCCCAAAUUGGUCCCUCAUUACUUCAGCAAUCUUAUCGGCCCAAUAAGCAUCGGCAUCUUGCCGAUGAGGCGGUUGCGGACCUGGGACCUGUUGAUACGCUUCUACGUGUCUGUGCGGUGCACCAUCCGCAUGGAACAUUGGGUUAAUCAUUUGGCCACCAAUCUGCUGACCGCCAAACUGUUGACCACCAAACUGCUGACCACCAAUCUGCUGGCCGAGAUUCAUCGGCUGAUUGACCAACCCUUGGUUCUGGAAUCCAGGGUAGAUUUGGCCUUGUUGAAACCCUGUAGCGUGAUGAUUCUGUUGGGGCUUUUGUGGAAAAACUUGCUGCUCAGGCCAUCCACUAUUAGCAUUCAUCGGCACAGGACCUGCCGAUGACUGGUAAUUGGGCAUCAUCAUCAAAUUGACAUACCUUGGCUGAGUGAUAAGCCUCUGCUGCGUCAGCAGUGAAUCUGCCGAUGCGUUAGGCAUCUGGAACGUUGGAGCUUGAGAAUUCUUAGUGUAAGGUCUGGCAGUAGUAGUUGUGGUAUAGUGGGGACUCUGAUUCAUCAGCAUAUUUGGAGGUGCCGAUGCCAUGGGAGCCUUUCCUCUCAUAUCAGCCGCCUGAGAUGUGCCAGGUGUCUUCAACAAGUAUUUCGAGGGCAUACCGAAACCCCACCAAUUGGGAGGAACGGAUCCCGACAUUGCCGACGCCAAUAGAUCUGUAGUAAGCUUGAUCUGCCCUUCUGAAGUUGAUGGAUUGGUCGUCAUCGGUGUAGAUUGUGCAUUAGUGACUCCCAACGUGCUUGGAGGAACGGUAGUUCCUGUGCCCGCGGCGGCUGUAGCAGCCGGUGGAGCUGUGACCACCGGUGAUCCUGGCUGAUGAUGAGAGAGGCCCACAUAGUCUGGUGGCAACUGUCCUUCUUUGAAAGUUCUAGCCACGGCAUUGAAAACCGUAUUGGACAGCACACCAGCUUGGUUGAUCAAGGCACGGUUGAUAGCACUAUCGACCAUGUCUUGGGGUUUCCCAGGAUUGGCGUCAAAAGUAACCAGCCGAGGCAUGGGCAGUGCUUCCUUUUGGUUCACUUCGCCUCUCCUAUUGAUACUGAAGGAUCUCAAACAUUGCUGCUUGUAAUACUCCAUGGCUUUCGCAAUAGCUUGCUUCUGCUCAUCCUUGAGAUUGGCUUCCGUCACAGGGAUGACAUUCUCCUGAUCAAACUCAGUAGUCGACAUGUCGAUCUUGAUCUUGAAUCUGGUCUCACUGGGCGUGUCAAAAGAUGUGUUGAUGCAAAAGCUAGAUUUGCAAACACAAAGGGCUAAUACCCGAUAUCAAACGUUAAGGCGUGCCAGCCGAUUUGACCUUACUAUCGGCAAAGGUGAUAACUCGAAUACUUUGGUCCCGACAAUAGCGAUGCGCCCGGAUGCCACGGCUAAUUGGUAUUCACGCGGAACUUGAGAAUACGCCGAGCUUAUGUCGACAAAUUCCUAAGAACUCGUAAUGAAAAAUGAAAAUAUGACGAAGUCGUCGAAAAAAGUAGAUGUUGGAAUAUGAGUAAAAACUUGUGUUUGUUUGAUUGAUUGAUUGAUGCCAAGGCCCUAGGGUCUAUAUUUAUACCCUGCUCAAAGAGCUACAACCAGACACGGCUAGAACUCGAAUUCAAAAUUUAAACAGAACCCGUGUACAAAAUGAUUUAAAUAACUAAGGAAACACAAAGCUAUCCUUCCGUGACAAACUGGGACACCUCCACGGACCAACCGGCAACCUUCAAGUCUCCCUUCCGUGUCGUCGGCAGACUCCCCAUCGGCAACGGUUAAAACCGACCAUCGGCAUAAACACACCACCACCCAUGGACUUAGCCACGUUCAGCUGUCUUCUAAUCGGUAACUACCGUCAUCGGCAACUCCCCUGCAUACCAGUUACUGUUGCCCUUUCUUGCCGAUCCACACUCUACCGAUCCUGGAUACGUGUCCAAAAACGGUGUCAAUAGGGCAUGAUGCAGUGUUACCUUGGGAGAUUAAGACUGGGUCUAGGCGACUAUCUUUUCAAGAUCAAUUGGCUGCCGAUGAUUAUGCUACUUUGAUGACAGACGAGUUGGAUGAUCUAGCAGGGCAUCGGCUAAGGGCUUUGAUGAGCAUAGAAGAGAAUAAGAAGAGAGUUUGCCGAUGGAGAGUUAGUAUAGAAACUAAUCUUACCGAUCAGGACUAAAAGUUCAAAAUUCGGGAAGUGGUCUCCCAAGCAUUCCUAUCGACUAAAAUAUCUAAAGAAGUAUUACCCAAGCAUAUGGGUCGAUGCAUGAAAGUUUAAAUGCCGAUAACAUUCCUAUCGGCUGGAUCAAAAUAUAUCUGGGACCGGACUUAGUGUUUUAAAAGGUGCCGAUAACAGUCCUAUCGGCUAGACCAAAUACUAGGGUUUUUCAGAAGAAAAGACCAAAUGUGCCGUCGAUGAAGAGUUCACAUGUUCAAAGCGCGCAGGCGGAUUUGGUUGGCUGCUUCUAUCUCUUUGAUGUCUUCAUCGGCAGAACCCUCCACCGGCUUCAACUUCUUCUUCAUCUGCAGUGCUGUGCGGGCUUGGACAUUUCGCUCUUGCUUAAGAAGCUUGAUCGUUUAGGUAGCUGGCUUUCUUCUCGUUGGGCUUGGGAUAAAGCUUCUUCUACUUGUUUAAGUUCUGCCAGCAGGGCUUCCCUUCUUGCCGAUAAGUCAGAAAUCUUUUGCUUCAAUACUUCUCCUGAGGACUUUAAGAUGCCGAUGUUCUUGUGCUUCUCAUCGGCAAGGAGCUUCACCUUCAUAAUUUCCUCAGAGAGCUAGGCAUGAGUAGCUCUAUCAGCAAGACGUUGGGCAGCUCUCUAGUACUGCAGCUGACGGCUCUCUAGAUGUGCGGCUUGGAAGAGAAUUUCUUCAGCAUCGGCAGGAAUUUGGCCUCUGAGGGUCUUGAACAAAGCUUUCGCCGGGUCGAAGUCGUCGACCAGUUGAGCUGUGUCGGUGUUUUCCCCACGGGGGGUCACACCAACGAGUGAAUUUGUGUGCGUGCUCCCUUUCCCAGAUGGUGAUGCAAGAAGACACAGAGAUUUAUCCUGGUUCGGGCAAGAGAAGGACCGACGUCCAGCGGGGGGGGAGAAGUUUGUAUUAUCUUGCACCUAAGUGCUUGUACAGGGGUGAAUACAAGCGUGGUAUGAAGUGUGUGAGCCCUACUGCGUAUGUGUGUGGUAUUGCCUGGUCCCGUUCUAUUCCUGAGUCCCUCCUUUUAUAGUUCCAAGGAGAGACCCAGGGUACAUGUAUAGGUGCCAGAAUAGGAGACGAUAGCAGCAUGGAGCGCUGACCUACUCGAGGCUUCCGUACCGGUAUGGCCUCGAGCCGUCCCGUCUUGAUAGCCUGGUGAUGAUUACGCGUGCCCCUGCAUUCUGCUCUGCGCGCCGUCUUGUGUUGAUUCAACGGUCGCACGCUUGUACGGUAUGGCGGCAGAUCCGGCGGGGUGGUUGUGGUGUUAUCAGUCGACGCCCAAGUUGUCCCCAGGAUGGAACCCUGUUCGGUCGAGGGUCGGACGCCAUGUAAUGUGCCGAUGUCCGGAGCGCUGACCUUGGAUGUCUCGAGGUGGUUCCGAUUAGACGUUCCAUCCUUGUUUCCUGCGUCCUGACACGCCCUGGGUCGUUUGGUGGGAAGGCUGCAAAAAGAACGAUGGGACAGAUGCCUGUUCCUUAUCACGCCUCCCGUGACCCGUGUGUUAGGUGGGGAAGCAUCAGGCGCAUUUAAUGCUCCGGCUCGCGUGCGCGCGUCAGGCGGCGGGCGGCGUCCUUGCGCUCGACGCCUCCCGGUUCGUGUGAGCCUGUUUCCGUAUUCGACGGCAGCUAACGCUCGACCCCUGAUCGAUUCGCUCGACGCCAUUUCCGUCUUCGAGGUUGUGGACGUCGAAGGCUGCGUAUACACAUGGCCAGAGCUUCGAGUCGAGGGUCUCAUCCCGCGUACGAAUAGUCUUGUUAUGUGCAUCGGUGAGGGUACCCCUUAUUGAUACCCUCGACAGUAGCCCCCGAGUCUUUAUUCGAGCGCUGGCGCUCGGGUGGAGACUUGUAUCCCCGCGUCAAGUUUCCGUGGGGGCGCGCGAGCGACCCCGCGGGGGUAGCCCCCGAGCCCUUGAAGGAGUUUUUGACUCCUUCGAGGGUUAUAUUGCCUAGUUUGCAGAAACGCUAUCGACACCAGUGGUGGUAGGUUCUGAUUGGCUCAUUUUACGUGGAGGUUUCGACGUACUCUCGAUGGAGCGAGCGUCUCCCCCCCUAGAUUGAGUUCCUAGCGGGUGGUCCAAGUGAGAACCUGUGCCCUUUUCGAGGGGGUCAGCUGUAGCCCGGAGGCGUUCUCAUAAAGCAGGGUCGACGUGGUCGGGGAUACCGGUCUCAUUCGAUAGAGUCCAGCGGCUCGAUGCCUCCCGUCGGGGGGAUUCCUCUCGACUAUCUCGACUCUACCUUGGACAUCCUCAGCGAGUAUUCGAGGCAGGCCUCGAUAUUCGACCGCUCGCUGGGGAUCCCUGACUCCGGUGCUCGAGAUCGGCUGUCGAACCCUUUCGGUGGGCCAGCCUGCGACCUCUCGAGGCUUUCGCGGGUACGUCCUUUGGCUUACAAGGGAAGGAAGUGGCCGUGGCGGUUCGCCUUUUCUGCCCGUUGGGCGCGCCUUUUCAGGCGGGUGACGUUGCGACACUGCGUCGGCGUGGAAUUCGGAGCGCCCCACCUGUGUGGGGAAAGAGACGGUUAGGUGGCACAUUUAAGGGAGGGAGUUACCUUAUUUCUUAGAUCUCUCUGUUGGUGGAUCGUGGCUUAUAAAUAGGCCGUGGCACCGCCGCCGUUCUUUCUUCCGCCUCCCAUCUCCACUCUUGCCUUAGCCUUCUUGCCGUUUUAGCUUUCUCGCCGUCUCACGCGCACACGCCUCCUCGAGCAGUAGCGGAUUCACCGCCCUUCCAGCCGAGAUGCCUGUGAGACUCGUUGCCGCCGACGACUGGCGCCCGUCGUCGAUGACAGAGCACCGGUUGUUAGAGCUUGAGAGAGAGAGACUGCUGUGCCGCCGUACCUCGCUAUCGUCGCCCGAGUGGAUCGCGCCGCCGGCGAACCACAGGGAGCCCCAGCCGCCCGAGGGCUACGUGGUGUCAUUCGCCAAAUUCCACCGCCACGGCCUGGGCGCGCCCCCGAGCCGCUUCAUGCGGGCCCUCUGCUUCCACUACGGGGUGGAGCUCCAGCACUUCUCCCCGAAUGCCAUCACCGUCGCGGCGAUCUUCGCCACGGUAUGUGAGGGCUACUUGGGGAUCAUGCCGCACUGGGAGCUGUGGAUCCACCUCUACAGGGGCGAGCUUUUCCACGCCCCCACUGGAACCACGGGCGUAAGGAAGCCCGUGCGGGCGGGAUGCCUUAAUCUUGUGCAGAAGACGGGGAAGACGGAUAGGCCGCGGGAGUACAUCCCGGUAGGGUUAUCGACCAACCACGCCGGCUGGGACUCCCAGUGGUUUUACCUGCGGAACGACGACAACCUUCUGCCUUCCUACUCGGGCCGUCUGAUCAUGGAGCGUCCAGCGGACUGGACAUACGGCGUCGUCCAAGCUCAUCAAUCUCGGCUCGACCCCCUCCUCGACGCCCUGAAGAAGCUUCGCCAGGAGGGUUCGACCGCUGCUCUCGUCCUCUCGGCUGUCCAUCACCGGAGAGUUCUCCCAUUGAUGUCUCGACCGUUGAGGAUGGACGAGAUGGGCCCUGGCGUCUCAUCUCGGGACCUCGAGGCGUGCCGGAUGUCCAACGAGGCUCCGGCGGACGACGAAGUCGCGGCCCGAGUCAGGGCUGCAAUUGCCGGUGACUUUCAGCCGGAGCAUGUUAACGGCUUCCCCAUGAGGCCAGAUACAGGCUCGAUCGAUCUGGUAAGCUUUCUUCUCGCGCGCAGCCUCAAUUCUGGGUUUCCUUUCUUCCCCCCACUUUUUUUUUUAAGUCUGCCUUUGUUUUGGCAGGGACGGAUUGAUGUCCGUUCCUCGAGGCCUCCGGUAAAGGAGGACGAGGUCGAUCGCGACAAAAGGCGCCAAUCUGCCGAAAAGCUAAAGUCCGCCAAGGACUCUGCAAAGAAGGGGGAGAAGAAGAAGAACCUCGACCGCCAAGCAUUAGAGGCACGUCGAGCCAAAUCCAGGCAGAGGGGGGAGCCUGAGGAAGAAUCCCCCAACGACGACGAUGAUGACGACGAGGAUAGCGACGACUCUGAGGGGAUGGCGUCGCGCCUUGACCGAAUCCUCGAGGGUCCGCCUCGAGGCGACGUCGACGUCCCCCGGAUGGAGACUCCAAAGGAGGGUCCGAGCGGAUCUCACGGCCCUCGGGCCGACACCCCUCCUGCGCCCAAGGUUGGUCAAGUCGCGCCGCGCCCUCCCCCGGCGCCCAGGGAGAGCGGUCAUGCUAGGCCCCAGGCGACGGGGCCACUGACUCGCGGUCGCGCCGCGGCCUCCGAGAAGGGAGAGACCGGCCACAGGAGCGCCAGUCCCGGCACCCGCCAGGCGAGAACUGCCGCGCCAAGGCCAGCGCCUGCCUUCGAGGGGCCUGGGGCCCUGACGCGGGGUGGCUCGAGGCCCGCCGGUCGGGGCGGCGGGAGGCGAGCUGUUCUCCCUGUGGGGUAAGUUUUUUCGACAUCGUGGCUUUUGUCUUCCUGCUCCUAUGCACUUUCCCAUAUGCCGAUCUUUUCUCAGGCUAAAACGGACCCUCGAGCAGGCCCAGCCGUCCAUGGCAAAGUGGCUCAAAACGGGAGCCGCCUCCAAGGAAACAGGUCCGUAGUUUAUUUUGGGCCUUGUGAUGUUAUUGUGUCAGUUACUAUAGCGUCUGACCUUUACCCUUUGCUUUGUAGGCUCCUCCGACUCCCAAUCUCCAGCCGGCGUCGAGAGGGCUCCGCCUCGUCCUGUGCCUACCCCGUCGCCGCCGACUUGUGGUGAGGCGCCCGAGAUGCAAACGUCAGAGGGAGCCCCCGAGCCCCCUCGAUUAGGGGUCGAGGGGGAACCCAUCACCAUCAGCGAUACGUCUGAUGGUAACGAAGCGUCUGGGGGUGCCCGCCCUAUGGAGGAGGAAACGUCGACCUCCCACGUCGCGGGACGGACUCCCUGGCCUGCUGGCCUUCGAGCUCUCGAAGAGCAAAGGAAAAUGGAGGAGGAGGAGGAGCGGGAGCGCGAGGCGACGCGGCCGUCACCGUAGCAGCAGCAGUAGCUGCAGCAUCAGCAGGAGGAGCAGCAGCAGCGGCUGCAGCAUCAGCAGGAGGAGCAGCAGCAGCAGCAGCAGGGGGGCCAAGAGGACGAGCCCCUCGAGCCCCCGCCUCAAUGUUUGGCCCAACCGGCACCACUGGCACUGCAAGAGCCCGGCGAUCAGGAGGAAGAUUUGCCGGUGUACGGCCCUCCCACCCCAGCGUGGCUCCUCCCGGGGGCGCCUGCCGCGAUCCGGGCAGAGUCGGGGUGAUCGGACGGAGUGGUGGCGCUCGCCUGUAUGAUGCGCACCCCCACCGACCCCGAGUCCGAGAUCAAGAGGACGAUCUACGGCAUGGACGGGAUCGCGCCAGGGUUCCUCCGGGAGCGUCGGGCGUGGGAGCACCGUUUUCCCUCCGAGGAGGAUGAGAUCGGGUCGUCGGGAAGCAAGGACGGUACUUGGAAGACGGUGGAUGAUGACGGGCGGUUCCCAUGCCUCGUCGACCUGUUCUUGCACCACGGGGGCUCCCUCGAAACCGUCAAGAACCUUAUCCGCGGUGUCAAGGCGCGGGCUGAUCGGGAGAUGGAGAACUGGUGCCCUGAUCGGAUUCGUAUCCGGGCUUCCCACGACCCGUCCGAGCCCAACAUCUUCCUCGAAGACAAGAAGGAGGCCGAGAAGUGGGAGCAUGUCGAGGAGCUCUGCCUUUGGAUGAAGCACACGGUGGGGCUCCUGUCGGACAUCAUCAACAAUGGACUCGGGCCUGCUUAUUUCGUAAGUGUCUUUCGGCCUUUGAUCUCCAUGGAGCCUUUUGGUUUUGUGCUCUGACUUGUUCGUCCGCCGGCUCACAGGAUAUGAAGGAGACCUCCCGCAUCAAGUCGAGCUUCAUCCACGCCACGCGUGGCGGUUGGGAGCAGCUCCCCGUCCUCAAGGAUCAGCUCCUCGAGUCGCAGGAGAAACUCCUCAAGGCUUAUAAAGACCUCAUAGCGCUCGAGGAGGAGAAGAAGGCGAAGGAGGCUGCCUUGGUGGAGGCUCGGGAGGCCUCAAAGAAGGCGGAGGAGGAGACGACGCUGCUGCGGGAGCGGGCUCUAACGGUCGAGGUGGCCGCAUCCAGAGCCUGGGAGGAGGCUCUGUCCUACAAGAGCGUUAUUGUGGACCUGGACAAGGAGAAGGGCCUUCUCAAGACCGACCUGGACUCCCUCCGAGAGUCCUUCCAGAAGAUGAAGGUGGAGCAUGUGAACGGCGAGAUCGCCAGGAGCGCCGCGGAAGAAGCCAAGAGGAAGGCCCUCGAAGACCUCGAGGCGGAGCGGGCUCAAUCUCGCAGGCUUUCUGACAACGUCGAACAUCUGAAGGGAGAACUGUUGGAGAAGAGUGGGGCCAUUGCUCAGGCUGGCAAGGGGAUCGAGGAUCUCCGCGUCGCCAACACCGAGCUGGCCCGUUCCAACAGAGAGAUCGAGAGGGCCAACACCAGAUUAGUCGGCGAAAACACGGCCCUGGAGGAGAGCGUCCACGGUGUGUUUCCUUUGUCGGAUUUCUUUUUUGAGGUGUGCUCGGUUUUUUCCUAAGGUUUCUUGUAUUGGCGCUUGCAGGUCUUAAGGACGAACUCCUAGCCGCCCAAGUCGAGGCCCGUAAUGCUAAGGCCCAGCUCGAGGCAGAUGUUGCUUUGAACCGUCGUGUGUGGACGGCGAUAAGCGACCUCUCGACCUCUUGGGAGGUCGAGCCUAUGGAUGAGUCGAGGGAGGGAGCUCGAGGCGACGCACUAGUCGACCAGCUGUGCUACUUAGGCGCGACGCUGAGAGACCGAGUGCGGGACGCCCUCCACAUCGGGGUGAAGCGGGCGAUGGCAGUUGUCUGCUCGGUCUUCUCCUACGACAUGGAGGUGGUGUCCCACGGCUUCGUCACCGACAUCUCCAAGACCGAUGCAGAGAACGAAGAGAGGCUCCACGCCUUGAUCGACGACGCGGAGGCUCCUAGGGAAAGGCUGGCUAAGCUUUUUGAGCCUAAGGUGCUUCCUCCUGAGACUGGCUCGGGCGCAGGCGGGGGUGGUGAGGAUCGUGCCAUGGACUGAGGCCUGCGAGGCUACGCAGGGUGCCUGGGGCCCCUUGUAUAAUACUUUGUCGAUAUUCUUUUUAAAUGACACAGUAUCUUUUUGUAAUUGUUGAAUGUUUAUUUGUCUUUCCGCUCGAGGUUCUUUUAUCCCUACUUAUUCUUACGUUUGUAUUCCUUGUUCGAUCUUUCGUCAAAAACAACCUCGAUCACCUCAAGGGUAAGGAAGUGAGUAGAGUUUCCGUAGCCCGGGGGCAUAGGGGUUCUCAGGCUCGUUGUCCCUCGGCCUUCGAGGGGCUCGAGGUGCCUUGGCUACUCGAAUCGUGCAAGGUUUACUAAGUAAGAAAAGAAAAUUUCUUGGCUUUUUCGACGUUUGGGGUGGGGUCGUCCCCCUGGUAGCCCCCGAGGGGGGUGUUGACUAUGAUGGGUCAUAGUCGGCGCCCCCUUCUAUCGUCGAGAUCAUGACUUGUAAAGCCUUAGUACAAAGAGAAGUUGGAUGCUCGAGGGAAGGACUUUGUCUAUUCAUACAUUCGUUUACAGGGUCUUGGUACAAGAUAUACGUAAGAACAUAAGUUUUGAACUUCUAGGGGUAGAAUCGACAUAGCUGUUCGAUGUUCCAUGCGUUGGUGAAGACCGCCCCCUUCUCGUCUGCUAACUUGUACGUUCCUGGCUUUAAGACCUCGGCCAACACGUACGGGCCUUCCCAUGGCGGGGUCAGCUUGUGACGUCCUUGGUUGCUCUGCCGUCGUCGUAGGUGUUGACACUUGCUAACACCACUUGAAUACUAGGUUGUCAUCCCCAGCAUGGCACUAGAGUGUACUAUGGUAUUUAUACGCAAACAGAUAAUCCACAAGCGCACGGAUACCGUUGAAGCUUUUACCCGGUUAAAGGUUUUAUCGUAUCCACAGGGAAACGGGAGAACCAACUACGCUCUAACUUAACCAAGAUAGAUAGAUAGGUGUAAAUAGGAAAGAUGAUAGAAUCGAAUAAGAACAAUAUUAAAGGUAAGAUAACAGUGAGUGAUAAUAUGGGAAUAGAGAGUAGAGCAAUUAUAGUAUAUGGGCGAUGGUAGCAGAAUAGAGAGGAUAACUAUGGUUUCUCUACUUCAAAGGGGUAUGUCUAUGUCUGGGACGAACCACGUGAUAAGAGUACACCACAAAGGAUGCUUAUCCAUAGGCCAAUAAACCCUACCCGUCCUGCUAACGAGAGGUGGACUACAGGGGACCAACGUAACUGUCACCUACGCGGCCUACCACACGAUCCAGCUAGUCAGGGGAUAUCCACAAGUAAUCUAGGUCUAAGCACCACGCUUACACCUAUACUACAACUCUAACCUAUAGGGUCCUAUAGAUUAGAAGUACUCAAAAGAGUUGUGAACCAGAACAUACAUGAUUAGUAAUUGCAUAAUGAAUUAGAGGUAGAUUACCAGAGUCAUCCCAUGAGCAAGCUUGAUUAGAGCUUGAUCAUGACGAAGUACAACCGGAGGAAGAACCGACAGGCCGGCCUCUCCUCUAAUCCUCCUUCGCUCUCCAUCUCGCUACUAUCUAGAUCUACUCUACUUUAGAGAAGAGAGGAGAGCUCUCAUCUCUAAACCCUAGCUUUUGCUCUGUCUAUGAAUAAUGAAUAAUGAUCAAGGGGUGCCUCCUCCAGGGGCCAGGGGGUCUGGUUUUAUAGUCCCCUCAAGUGAACCUGGGCCGUCGGAUCAAACCGACAUUGAUUGAACGGUUAUUCUUGAUCCUUUAGGUCGGUGGAGCAUAAUCCGCGAGAUUGAGCAUGAUUGGCCACAGGAGGUGGGCGGGCGCCCAGUAGGACAGGGCGGGCGCCCUGUCUCUGGCCCCGUUUCGCCUCCGCUUCGGUCUCGUGGCUUCUGGAGUCUUCUAGAUGUAAGAUAAUUGUACGGCACGUUGAUAUCUCUAUGAAAUCCCGACGUGUGGGCCUUUCUUCCUUAUUUCCUGAUAACCCCCUACAGAAAUAGACAAACACCAAAACUCGUAGAAUUCUGUCAGAUAAAACCCUAAGUCUUGAUGUUGAUUUCAUUUGGAUCCUUUUCUUUGUUUAUUUGAUAGUUAAAUUUGAUACUUAAGGACCGUCAACAAACUCCCCCAAGCUUACCUCUUGCUCGUCCCUGAGAAAGGAUAGACUCAGCUAUGGAUCAUAAGUUGUUGCAAUAUCUUUAAAAAUUGACGGUACACAUGCUUUUAAAUGAAGUCUCAUCUCUGAGUUAGAAUAAACUGUCAAGACUUAAAACUUACUUACUUUACCUUUCACCAUGGGACUUGUAACCGUCACUUCUGUCUUGAGUGGUUAAAAGAUAGAACAGUCCCGUCAAGUGCCAUGUCUCUUAUUCUUGAUCAGCUAUAGCUCUGGAGUUUUUGUAGAUUUUCAAAUAAAACUCAGAGAUUCCUUUGUAUGACUCUCUCAUAUCUCUCUUUUGUGGUAUUUCUGGAUCCUUACCAAGGCAGUGAUGGUAUAUGCCUUCUCUCAAAAUAUGUGGUAUUUGUGGUAUAAGGCAUAGUGACAUUGCCUUCUCUCUCACCCUACUCUAAUAAGGCUUUAAUAUCUGGAGCUCAUAGGUGGGAGAUAAAGUAUACAUACUUUCAAGACAUGUAUUGCAUAGUCAAACCAUGGAUCCAAAGAAACAAAUCAAUAAGCCAAAUCAAGAUGUGCAUGUGUGGCGAAUGAAUGGUGAUGAUGGUGAUAACAAUGGUGAAAGUCUAAUUCUACUUUUGCUCUUAUGAGGGGACACAUACCUUCCUUGCUUUUUGAAACUUUAUGAGGAGAAUGAGAUGCUCUUCUUUUUCUUUCCUCUCAGGUGGGUAUCUUGUACCCCUAAUUCUACUGUCGGACACUUGUCCAUUUUUACCUCUCGUCUCACUUUUUCUUUCUUUCGAGAUUCCGGGCACUUGCCCCUUUUUAUUUCCUCGUUUAUUCUCUUUUUUUUUUCUUUUCUUCUCUUUUCUUCUUUUUUUUAGAGCACUCAUCUCCUGAAAUAAUGUAGCAAGUGGUAGUAACCAAAAUAACUAGAGCAUUUAUUUCACAGGGAAUAACAGGGAUAGGAAAAUGUUUUUGGUUAUUCUCUCCCGGAUUAGGAGUAGAAUGAUUUUGGGUGAAACUGGAGAUGGAAAUGGAUGGAUAUAUGUGGAUGGUACUUCCGGAGUAGAAGUAGCAUAUAUGAGUGAACGUGCAAGUGAAUCUUGAUUUAACCACAUGACAAGCUCCUAAGGGUCUACACAGCUUGACCACACUCAAUGCUCAUAAGCAGUAAAUAAAUGUGUGGCUCAAAGUCUAGCAAGCAUGUAUACAUGGCUGUGGUAGGAAUUUAAACUUUCAUCAUACAGGAACUCAUCAUGCAAUAUUUUAAAGAUUUUUCAAAGAUAAAAUUCUCCAGAAUUCUAGCAUCUCUAGGAAUAGAUAAACAGCAGCUCAACCUUCCCAUAUCGUAUCCGUUAACAACUUAGACUUUAGAUCAAGUUUUCAUCCCACAAGUUUAGGUCUAGAGCAAGCUUUAAAUUAUAACAGUUAUAUCUAAACUUGAGAGAGAACUUAAAAUUUGCAAAUUAGGCAGAGCAGCUAUUCAUCAUAUCCAUGCUAGAGUUUUAUUAUUAAGAUUCAGAUUAGCAUAGCCACUUUAUUUAUUUAUUAAACACACUAAGCAAAAGAUAUAUAUAUAUAAGCACAAAAUCUUUAUUUGGUUUUUCAUAGUUUAUGUAUUUUAAUAUUAUAAUAUAAUAUAAGUAUAAAGAUAGGUAGAAAUACUUAGCGAGAUAAAUAGGGGUGCUCUCCCCCAAGCUGAAUUUUGACGUAAUUUCUCUUAAUGUAGCUAGCAGGUGGCAGAGGUGUAUUUGAAAGUCAGCAGCAUUCUGACAGCGAUUAGAAUGUCCUCCAUCUGCUAGUCUUCUUGAUUCUUAAAUUCUGUGGAGCUCAAAUAGACAACAAAGCUUGUGGAACUAAUUAAGUGUUAGCAUAAAUAUCUAGCCUUCAUCACGUUGAGCUUCCUCAAUAAAUAUUACUCCCUGUUUUUAUAUUUUUAUUUUAUAAAGUAGAAAAGAAAUAUUUAUUUUAUUUUUAUGCCACCACAGUGAAGGUACUUAUGGGUUUUAUGCCAUUCGUAUACUCAAAUGGGGCUUAGUAUUUUUUUAACAUUUUUAUUUUCUUUUCAAGAUAGCAUGAUUAACUAAUAAUCUAUUUAAGGAAAGUAAAUAAUUAAAUGGAAAAGGGAAUGCAGAAAGGAUAAAUAUGGAUAACUACCAAUCUUACCUUUCGGCGAGGGUUCAAUGUUUUAAGUCUUCUUGUCAAGACUUCUCAUCGUGUUCAUUCUUCAGGUGCGUCAUUUGAUUCAGGUGCGGACCUUGAUGUCUGCACCUUUUAAUACGGUGUCACCCAUGUUCUUCGUUUGCCCAGCAGUUCGAAUUGCGGUGUUAGCAGUAUCUUGCUCAGCGUGUUUGUGCUCGUAGUGUACCUGCUCAUAGAGACAAGGCAGAGAUCAAGUGCAUGGGCCCUGUUGGUGGAAAACACCAACAGAACCAAAAGUGUAUUUGUUCUUCUCUAACCUUAAGCAUAGUGAGCAAGACAAAGUUGAUGGAUAAUAAGUUCAUGAGUGUAGCACUUAUAACAUUUGUCAGAUCAGAUCGCUCAACCUUAUGGAAAGAUAAUCUAUUUAUGUAUAUGUCUUUUUCUUUAUAUCUCUCAAUGAUUGAAUGUGUAAUAUUUUAGCUCAUAUGAUUAGGAGUGUGGGAUCAUGGAGGUAGUACUAAGAACAAGGAUUAAAGGACUAAACAUGUUUAAUCAGAUGGGUUGGUUAAUCUAGAGUUGUAAAUCAUACACGUUUGUCUCUUUUAUUUAUAUGAACGCCAGAACCAAGGAGAAGCUUAUAAAAGUGAUAGUCAAGUACCUUAAGAUGUUACCUUGCUCGAAGAGUGAUGGUACAGUAUCAUCUUGUGGAAGCUUUCCUUUCUUAGCGGUUGUGCGUCGUGUUUGUGGCACCCUCCAUGGAUCAUCUCUCUAUGAUGAAUGAGCUAUGUCCUUCUUGUGCAAAUUGUUAAACUUCAUGUGUCACUCUCUUCUUCUCUGAUGUGAGUUUAUCUCAGGACUUCCCAAAUCGAUAUUGAAAGUUUUUCUGCGGGGGUUAGUCCGACAAAAUAUACCAAUAUCUACUCAAGCAGUUUUUUUUUAGUUCAAUAACCAAACUAGACUCCAUGUCUAAUCAGAUUAAGGAAGGCUAUUUAACCUAAGCACCAUGCUUAAUUUAAAUGCCAAUGGAAGUAUGGCGAGUACUUCCAAACCAACACUUGCUAGUAAAUAGACAAAGGUAGCAUGACAGCGUUUAUAGAGAUCUACUCAAGUGGAGAUGAAGUAGUGUGAUUAGUAUUUAACAAAUUGAGCAUGUCUCAAAGGUAGGGACAACCAGCAUAGCAACAUGGCAAAGGAUGUUUUUAUGUAAAGUACUCCUCCAAGCUUGAAUUUUGCAGAAUUCAAGUUUGGAUGAAUUUAAUUCAGUGUUGCAUGAUGAUUGGUUGGACAUACCUUGUGCUUGUCAUUCAUCCGAUCUUCUUGCUCCAAUCCUAGAAAGGUUAGUGACAAGAAUACCCGAAGGAAUAUUUUUUUUUUACAAUUAUCCUUAUAUGCUCAAUACACAAGGUAAUGUUGCAAAUAAUUAAAAGCUCGUGUUACAAUCUGAUCAAUGCUUAUUUUAAGACACUAAGCUUGUCCUUGGGAAACCAUCAGUUUAUGUUGGCGAAGUGGUUUCCCCUCCGACGCCAACCUAUAUCGAGAUCAACUCAACGAGAUCUGCAAUAUUUAUUAUAGACAUAUGCAUCGACAACCGCCCUUUUAAAGUUUUUAUAAAUAGAAAGGAAGAGGGGGUUGGAGAUCUCAAGUGUGGUGAUGUCGGAGAGACCAAUAGAUUGGGAAGAUGUUGCAUAUGAGCAUGGAGUAAACGAAGUGGCUAUGAAAUAAAUUCCAUGCUCAUUAAUGUUAUCUUCGUCUCUAAUCUGAAUGUUCGGAGUUUCUCCUGGAUUGGUCUCACCUAUGUCCUCUUCUGUAGUUGGAUGAAUCUCAUCUUCAAAGGGAGUCAAGAACUCACCAUUUGAAAUUGAGCCAAAGUCAGAACCCAUUAAGGCUUCUUCCUUAUCCAUCCAUUCUACACAUUCUAGCCAUUUAGAACUUGUGAUCAUGGAAGGGGAGUAGAUAGAAUUGUCUAUAUGGCUUAGCUCUCCUUCACUUGAUAUGUCAUCCUCGACUUCUUCAUGAUAGGAACCAGGAUAUUCUCUAAGAGAAACAUUAUUGCAAGGAUUUGAAUUAUCCCUGCUUGAAGGUCUCUUAUAGAACCAGAAGUCUAAACCAUCAGCAUCUAAAAGAUUUAAGGUUGGAACUCCUUCCUCUCUUGGAGAAUUUUGGGGUAUUGAUGGUUUAGGAUCGAUAGCUAAAGUUUGGGAUUGAAGUGGUUGUGAUCUGGCUAUCGAAACUUCUUCUUCUUGCCUAGGAACUGGUUCUUUCUCUUUCUCAGGGAUAUAAAAGCUAGGAGACUUUCCGCUCAUUAAAUCAAUCAAAUUCCAAGCUUCACUAGCGGAUAGGUGGUGGAAAGAUCCUCUAGAGGCCGCAUGAAGGGUUUGCUUAUCUUCCUUACUAAGGCCCUCAAAAAAGUGAAUUAGAAGAACUUCUUCUAGAAUAGAAAGUUUUGGGCCAGUGAGAGUAAGGUUAAUAAAGCGGUCCCAUGAUUUGCCAAGAGAUUCUUCUUCCAGUUGUCUAAAAGAAAGAAUCUCACACCGAAGUUCCACCACUUUGGAGAUUGGAAAAUAUUUAGAAAGAAAACUACUAUAUAACUCCUUCCAAUCUCCAUGAGCACUCCCUACUUUGAGGUUAUACCAAUGUCUAGCUUUUCCCGUUAAAGAGAACGGAAAGAGCUUCCAUUUAAGGGUCUCAUCGGACAUGCCUUCUAUGCGAAGGAGGUCACAGACUCGAUAAAACUCUCUUAGGUGUGUGUAUGGGUUUUCCUCACCUUCUCCUGAGAAAGGUUGUUUUUGAAUAAAUUCUAUGUAUUCGGGGUCUAUCUCAAAACUCGAUGCUAUGAUAGGCUUUGAAGAUUUUGGUGGUUCGAGAUGUGUGCCCAUAGGUCUAUGAAAUUCAUAGAUAGACAUGUUUGAAUUCAUAAUAGACCAGAGAUCAAGGAUUAGAUAAGAAGAAAGAAUAGCAGAGAUGAGGCAAAGGAUAAAAGGAAAAUAUUUUUUUUUUGUUAUAUAUUUUUUUUUAUAAAAUGAUUAAACUAGUUCGUAGUCAACUCAGCAACCGUUUCCCCGGCAACGGCGCCAAAAAUGCUUGUUGACACUUGCUAACACCACUUGAAUACUAGGUUGUCAUCCCCAGCAUGGCACUAGAGUGUACUAUGGUAUUUAUACGCAAACAGAUAAUCCGCAAGCGCACGGAUACCGUUGAAGCUUUUACCCGGUUAAAGGUUUUAUCGUAUCCACAGGGAAACGGGAGAACCAACUACGCUCUAACUUAACCAAGAUAGAUAGAUAGGUGUAAAUAGGAAAGUUGAUAGAAUCGAAUAAGAACAAUAUUAAAGGUAAGAUAACAGUGAGUGAUAAUAUGGGAAUAGAGAGUAGAGCAAUUCUAGUAUAUGGGCGAUGGUAGCAGAAUAGAGAGGAUAACUAUGGUUUCUCUACUUCAAAGGGGUAUGUCUAUGUCUGGGACGAACCACGUGAUAAGAGUACACCACAAAGGAUGCUUAUCCAUAGGCCGAUAAACCCUACCCGUCCUGCUAACGAGAGGUGGACUACAGGGGACCAACGUAACUGUCACCUACGCGGCCUACCACACGAUCCAGCUAGUCAGGGGAUAUCCACAAGUAAUCUAGGUCUAAGCACCACGCUUACACCUAUACUACAACUCUAACCUAUAGGGUCCUAUAGAUUAGAAGUACUCAAAAGAGUUGUGAACCAGAACAUACAUGAUUAGUAAUUGCAUAAUGAAUUAGAAGUAGAUUACCAGAGUCAUCCCAUGAGCAAGCUUGAUUAGAGCUUGAUCAUGGCGAAGUACAACCGAAGGAAGAACCGACAGGCCGGCCUCUCCUCUAAUCCUCCUUCGCUCUCCAUCUCGCUACUAUCUAGAUCUACUCUAGUUUAGAGAAGAGAGGAGAGCUCUCAUCUCUAAACCCUAGAUUUUGCUCUGUCUAUGAAUAAUGAAUAAUGAUCAAGGGGUGCCUCCUCCAGGGGCCAGGGGGUCUGGUUUUAUAGUCCCCUCAAGUGAACCUGGGCCGUCGGAUCAAACCGACAUUGAUUGAACGGUUAUUCUUGAUCCUUUAGGUCAGUGGAGCAUAAUCCGCGAGAUUGAGCGUGAUUGGCCACAGGAGGUGGGCGGGCGCCCAGUAGGACAGGGCGGGCGCCCUGUCUCUGGCCCCGUUUCGCCUCCGCUUCGGUCUCGUGGCUUCUGGAGUCUUCUAGAUGUAAGAUAAUUGUACGGCACGUUGAUAUCUCUAUGUAAUCCCGACGUGUGGGCCUUUCUUCCUUAUUUCCUGAUAACCCCCUACAGAAAUAGACAAACACCAAAACUCGUAGAAUUCUGUCAGAUAAAACCCUAAGUCUUGAUGUUGAUUUCAUUUGGAUCCUUUUCUUUGUUUAUUUGAUAGUUAAAUUUGAUACUUAAGGACCGUCAACAAACUCCCCCAAGCUUACCUCUUGCUCGUCCCUGAGAAUGGAUAGACUCAGCUAUGGAUCAUAAGUUGUUGCAAUAUCUUUAAAAAUUGACGGUACACAUGCUUUUAAAUGAAGUCUCAUCUCUGAGUUAGAGUAAACUGUCAAGACUUAAAACUUACUUACUUUACCUUUCACCAUGGGACUUGUAACCGUCACUUCUGUCUUGAGUGGUUAAAAGAUAGAACAGUCCCGUCAAGUGCCAUGUCUCUUAUUCUUGAUCAGCUAUAGCUCUGGAGUUUUUGUAGAUUUUCAAAUAAAACUCAGAGAUUCCUUUGUAUGACUCUCUCAUAUCUCUCUUUUGUGGUAUUUCUGGAUCCUUACCAAAGCAGUGAUGGUAUAUGCCUUCUCUCAAAAUAUGUGGUAUUUGUGGUAUAAGGCAUAGUGACAUUGCCUUCUCUCUCACCCUACUCUAAUAAGGCUUUAAUAUCUGGAGCUCAUAGGUGGGAGAUAAAGUAUACAUACUUACAAGACAUGUAUUGCAUAGUCAAACCAUGGAUCCAAAGAAACAAAUCAAUAAGCCAAAUCAAGAUGUGCAUGUGUGGCGAAUGAAUGGUGAUGAUGGUGAUAACAAUGGUGAAAGUCUAAUUCUACUUUUGCUCUUAUGAGGGGAUACAUACCUUCCUUGCUUUUUGAAACUUUAUGAGGAGAAUGAGAUGCUCUUCUUUUUGUUUCCUCUCAGGUGGGUAUCUUGUACCCCUAAUUCUACUGUCGGACACUUGUCCAUUUUUACCUCUCGUCUCACUUUUUCUUUCUUUCGAGGUUCCGGGCACUUGCCCCUUUUUAUUUCCUCGUUUAUUCUCAUUUUUUUUUCUUUUCUUCUCUUUUCUUCUUUUUUUUAGAGCACUCAUCUCCUGAAAUAAUGUAGCAAGUGGUAGUAACCAAAAUAACUAGAGCAUUUAUUUCACAGGGAAUAACAGGGAUAGGAAAAUGUUUUUGGUUAUUCUCUCCCGGAUUAGGAGUAGAAUGAUUUUGGGUGAAACUGGAGAUGGAAAUGGAUGGAUAUAUGCGGAUGGUACUUCCGGAGUAGAAGUAGCAUAUAUGAGUGAACGUGCAAGUGAAUCUUGAUUUAACCACAUGACAAGCUCCUAAGGGUCUACACAGCUUGACCACACUCAAUGCUCAUAAGCAGUAAAUAAAUGUGUGGCUCAAAGUCUAGCAAGCAUGUAUAUAUGGCUGUGGUAGGAAUUUAAACUUUCAUCAUACAGGAACUCAUCAUGCAAUAUUUUAAAGAUUUUUCAAAGAUAAAAUUCUCCAGAAUUCUAGCAUCUCUAGGAAUAGAUAAACAGCAGCUCAACCUUCCCAUAUCGUAUCCGUUAACAACUUAGACUUUAGAUCAAGUUUUCAUCCCACAAGUUUAGGUCUAGAGCAAGCUUUAAAUUAUAACAGUUAUAUCUAAACUUGAGAGAGAACUUAAAAUUUGCAAAUUAGGCAGAGCAGCUAUUCAUCAUAUCCAUGCUAGAGUUUUAUUAUUAAGAUUCAGAUUAGCAUAGCCACUUUAUUUAUUUAUUAAACACACUAAGCAAAAGAUAUAUAUAUAUAAGCACAAAAUCUUUAUUUGGUUUUUCAUAGUUUAUGUAUUUUAAUAUUAUAAUAUAAUAUAAGUAUAAAGAUAGGUAGAAAUACUUAGCGAGAUAAAUAGGGGUGCUCUCCCCCAAGCUGAAUUUUGAUGUAAUUUCUCUUAAUGUAGCUAGCAGGUGGCAGAGGUGUAUUUGAAAGUCAGCAGCAUUCUGACAGCGAUUAGAAUGUCCUCCAUCUGCUAGUCUUCUUGAUUCUUAAAUUCUGUGGAGCUCAAAUAGACAACAAAGCUUGUGGAACUAAUUAAGUGUUAGCAUAAAUAUCUAGCCUUCAUCACGUUGAGCUUCCUCAAUAAAUAUUACUCCCUGUUUUUAUAUUUUUAUUUUAUAAAGUAGAAAAGAAAUAUUUAUUUUAUUUUUAUGCCACCACAGUGAAGGUACUUAUGGGUUUUAUGCCAUUCGUAUACUCACAUGGGGCUUAGUAUUUUUUUAACAUUUUUAUUUUCUUUUCAAGAUAGCAUGAUUAACUAAUAAUCUAUUUAAGGAAAGUAAAUAAUUAAAUGGAAAAGGGAAUGCAGAAAGGAUAAAUAUGGAUAACUACCAAUCUUACCACUCCGCGAGGGUUCAAUGUUUUAAGUCUUCUUGUCAAGACUUCUCAUCGUGUUCAUUCUUCAGGUGCGUCAUUUGAUUCAGGUGCGGACCUUGACGUCUGCACCUUUUAAUACGGUGUCACCCAUGUUCUUCGUUUGCCCAGCAGUUCGAAUUGCGGUGUUAGCAGUAUCUUGCUCAGCGUGUUUGUGCUCGUAGUGUACCUGCUCAUAGAGACAAGGCAGAGAUCAAGUGCAUGGGCCCUGUUGGUGGAAAACACCAACAGAACCAAAAGUGUAUUUGUUCUUCUCUAACCUUAAGCAUAGUGAGCUAGACAAAGUUGAUGGAUAAUAAGUUCAUGAGUGUAGCACUUAUAACAUUUGUCAGAUCAGAUCACUCAACCUUAUGGAAAGAUAAUCUAUUUAUGUAUAUGUCUUUUUCUUUAUAUCUCUCAAUGAUUGAAUGUGUAACAUUUUAGCUCAUAUGAUUAGGAGUGUGGGAUCAUGGUGGUAGUACUAAGAACAAGGAUUAAAGGACUAAACAUGUUUAUUCAGAUGGGUUGGUUAAUCUAGAGUUGUAAAUCAUACACGUUUGUCUCUUUUAUUUAUAUGAACGCCAGAACUAAGGAGAAGCUUAUAAAAGUGAUAGUCAAGUACCUUAAGAUGUUACCUUGCUCGAAGAGUGAUGGUACAGUAUCAUCUUGUGGAAGCUUUCCUUUCUUAGCGGUUGUGCGUCGUGUUUGUGGCACCCUCCAUGGAUCAUCUCUCUAUGAUGAAUGAGCUAUGUCCUUCUUGUGCAAAUUGUUAAACUUCAUGUGUCACUCUCUUCGUCUCUGAUGUGAGUUUAUCUCAGGACUUCCCAAAUCGAUAUUGAAAGUUUUUCUGUGAGGGUUAGUCCGACAAAAUAUACCAAUAUCUACUCAAGCAGUUUUUUUUUAGUUCAAUAACCAAACUAGACUCCAUGUCUAAUCAGAUUAAGGAAGGCUAUUUAACCUAAGCACCAUGCUUAAUUUAAAUGCCAAUGGAAGUAUGGCGAGUACUUCCAAACCAACACUUGCUAGUAAAUAGACAAAGGUAGCAUGACAGCGUUUAUAGAGAUCUACUCAAGUGGAGAUGAAGUAGUGUGAUUAGUAUUUAACAAAUUGAGCAUGUCUCAAAGGUAGGGACAACCAGCAUAGCAACAUGGCAA